GAUGCGUAUGAUGUGUUGCAUUGCCAAUGGACUUGUAUUACUAAAAAUCUUCUGCAUUGUAUCGACUAUAUUUGUUGGCCGUGUGUGUCCACUAUGUUCUAUGCUAGCCAUGUGAGGUCUAUAUAUAUAGACUUGCUAAACUAAGCCUAAACCCAAUCUUUUUUAUCAUUAAUUUCCUAGUGGUAACUGGAUGUACUCCCUCCGUUCAUAAAUACUUGUCUUUCUAGGCAUUUCAACAAGUGACUACAUACGGAGCAAAAUGAGUAAAUCUACACUCUAAAAUAUGUCUACAUACAUCCGUAUGUAGUAAUCAUUUGAAAUGUCUAGAAAAACAAGUAUUUAGGAACGGAGGGAGUAGUUGAUAACUAAUUUUAGUGAAGCCUUUACGUCCGGCGGUGCGUGCGCUGGUUUAUCUGGCUCCAUGGUCACGGGCUGUUAGUCCGGUAGUGAAACAUUACUGCUCGUAUCUUGCUCUCGUAGUCAGGGCAUCUUCAAAGUCGAUCCUUAAAUCACUUGCCUACAUCUUCAAAGUUGACCCUUAAAUCACUUUCCUACAGGCAUGGACCGCCAUUCAAUAUGAGCAUGUAUUGGUCUACUUACGGUUUAGACCCUCAAAUCACGCGCUGUUCGUUCAGUAGUGAAACAUUACUGCUCGUAUCUUGCUCUCGUAGUCAGGCAUCUCCAAAGUCGACAGCCAAAUCACUUGCAUACGUCUGGACCUUUGAAGCCAUCCAACAUAGGCAUGAGCGGCCAUCCAACGCCUUUGUAUCUUGUCGUUUUUCUGCUUUUUUGUGUUGGUUUCGAGUUUGUAAUCCUUACCGGUUGAUGGCUUUGUUAAUUCAAAAUCGGGCUCUUUCUUGAGCCUCUGUUCUAAAAAAAAGCGGCCAUCCAACAUGAACAUGUAUUGAUCCACUUGACGGUUUAGACCCUCAAAUCACUUGCAUACGUCCGGACUUUCGAAGCCAUCCAACAUAGGCAUAGGCCGCCAUCCAACAUGAGCCUGUAUUAGUUCGUUUGACGGUCUAGACGUGUGUUUUUUUUUUUCAACAGACAAAGUGAUGAACUUUUCAAAAAAAAUCAAUGAUUUUUUUAAAAUUUGCUGAACUUUUUUCAAAUUCGGUGCACUUUUUUCAAAAUCAAUGAACCUUUUCCAGAAUCGAUUUUUUUCAAAUUCAAUGAACUUUUUCCAAAGUCGAUGAACUUAUUUUCAAAUUCGGUGAACUUUUUCCCAAAUUUGAUGAUUUUUUUCAAAUUCAAUGAAGUUUUUUCAAAUCGAUGAUUUUUUUUCCAAAUUCUAUGAUUUAUUGAAACUCGGUGAACUUUUUCAAAACAUUUAUUUUUUCAAAUUUGAUGAACUUUUCAUAAUCUGUGAACAUUUUGAAUUCAUAACUUUUUUUUUAUUUUUGCGAACUAAAAUCAUGGUUUUUCUUGGUUCAAAUGGUGAACCGUUGACCUUUUCUUUUUAGCGAAGUGAACCGUUGACCAGACAACCAUAAAACGAGCGUACAGCGAGCGGGUGACCACCCAACUCGUGUAACUGGGUCGGCCCAUACCAAGCCGCUGUGUGCGCCAGCUCCUGGAUGAGACGCCUACAACGCCCUGUUUGAUCGGUAAUCCGCGCAUUGAGUAAACCUAGUUCCUCUUUAUUCGACAACAAUCGUGGGGGUACAUCAAGCCACACAUGUCUACCAAGAUCUAGUAAGGAAAGCUUUGCUAAACUACCAGCUUCAAAGUUUCUACGUCUACUCUAAAAAAUAAAGUGCAAGAAGGAUUUAUGAAAAAUAACACUUUAUUUUUUGGGUUAUAUUGGGCUGAUGGGCCAUAUUAUCCCCGUUCUUUCUUGUCGACCCUUCUUUUUUCACAAAGGUCCCUAGGAGCUCCUAGUCAGUGCCAAAGACCGCCCAAAUCAUCUGAAUUUAAAAGUUCAUCAAAUUUGAAAACAAAUUCAUCGAAUUUGAAAAACAUUCAUAGUUUUUUUAAAACAUGAAAUAAAAAGAAAACUGGAAUAAAACCACCCCCGAAAUGACCAGCGAAUCGGUAAAAAACUGAUUCGGAAAGCUUGUGUAAGCUUUCCAAUACCAGUGGAUUCUCGCGAUUGAAGAGAGAAAUAAAAUAAAGGAAAAAACCUUAGAAAGCACUAAUCCUUCGAUGGCCUAGGGUUACCGUCGUUUUCUUCGAAGAAGCUGGUCGCGAGUUUGAAGUCUGGUGUUGCAUUAUUUUUUUGAACGUUUAAAAUAGAAGAAAAAAAUGGAAAUGGGCGGAGCCCAACUAGCGCGCCCGUAGGCGCCCUUUGCAGAAACAAUAAGAACAGGGGGCGGGGGCUUUGUGGUCAGCCACACCCUUGUCUGACUGCCCUGUCCCACCAAAAAAACCACCGCUCUCUCGUGCUUUUUAUCGAACACGAGCACCGCAUUCAUGCUGACCUAGGGCAUGCAGCAGGCGACAUUGAUGUCCCCAAUUUGAUCGUAUGGGAGGGCGAAGCUGACGAACGUGACCUCUUGGGCGUCGCCGCUUCAAUGCAGACACCACACCCCGAGAAACCAACUCCGGCCAGCGUCCCCGCUCCAGUGAGUCAAGGACGAGUCAGCAUCACCCAAGCGCAACCGCGGCGUCCAGAUCGGACACCGUGUCAAGGAUGAGACGGCGUCGCCCCCGCACUACCAUGGCGUCAAUAUCGGACGCCGGGCCAAGGACGAGUCGGCGUCAUAUGACAUCAUCUACGAGCGGACAACUAACCUCCCAUACCAAUGAUCUUGACUAGGCGGCACCAUUUGCUGCCUUCCGGGCCGAUUACUCCCCCGCCAAAGCCUUCCCGCAUUUCUUCGCCAUUGGCGGAGGCUCCACCAUUUCAUCCCCCUUCGGGGCCUCUUCGUUGGCCACGCCGUCAAGCUCCUCCUCACCUCUGGAGUCUUUGGAACUGGCAUCGCUCGGGAUCACCUCAAAGGCGAAUGGGUUUGGGUGCUCCACGCCCUCCAUACCCUCGGGGAUUACCCCCCAUAGACCGCACGCUGUCAUCAUCCCGAGGAUUUCUUCGUGCCUAUCUUCGUGAUAGAAUGGCUAGGUGGUCUCUGAAAGAGCGUCAAUGGUUGUCACACCCUGAUUUUUGGCCCUUUCUUUUCUUUUGAUUUUGUGAGAUUUUUGCUUGAGUUUUUUUUCUGUGGCUAUGUGGUCUGGAAACUGAAGAAGAUGACCUUUUAUUUCUUUCCAGAGUGGCUUAUCAUCCUCAAGUACAUCCCAAGACCUUGCCAUUUUCAUCCUAGCCCAACCCCAAUAUUUUUUUCCUUGGAAAUAUUCCUUUUCCUAUUAAAGGAAUAACCCAAUUUGCCCUAGAUUGUGAAGCAACCUAUAUUUCCAUCAGUCCUAAAAUUCCCAAAUAAUUCUCAUAAAUUUCUUGGGUCAUAUAUUCCUCAAAUAUGGCGAAAAAAUUCAAUUGCCAUGUUCCUCAUCAUGCUCAAUCAAUUCCUUUCCUAUUAUGUCCUGGAAUGGCAGUUUGUGAAGCAAGUGCCAUUUAUCUUUUCCCAAUUGACCCCAAACUUUUUGGACACCUUUUCAUGUCCAAAUAAUUGCCUCAUACCAAAAUUCAACUUAAUUUGCCAGGUGAAUAUUCCUAAGCAAAAUUUUCAAAUUCCCGUUUGAGGGAAUUGUUUGUGAAGGAAGUACUAGCUAGGAUGGUACAAAUGAGAUGAAAUUUUUCAUGGUCCUUAAUAUCAUCAAAUCAAAGCUUUACACAAGAUUUGAGCUCAUUCAAUGUAUAUAUGUGAGCCCAGCCCCAAAUCUUAGUUUCUGGUCAGAUUUUCAGUUUGUGAAGCAACCAUAUUUUAUCUUGCUUCAUUUAAGCUGAAACUUUUCCAGGGCAUUCUACUAUCCAUGUCAACUCUCUCCACCAAGUUUUGGAUCAAUUCAUCAAACAAUUUGCCCUGUGCAAUUUUUCCAAGUUUCUGGUUAGAAUAAAACACUGUGAAGCAACUGCUAGUUUGGUUCAUCCAAAUGGCCUGAAACUUCUUGAGCAUCUUCACAUCUUCAAAUAAUUGGGCCAUGACCAAUUUCAGCCAACUUUCCUCUUCAUGUGAGUGCAACUUCAUCAUCUCUAAUUCUGGCCAUUAUGGUGGUUUCUACAACAAGUACUAUCAAUAUUCAUCCUAAUGAGCUGAAAAUUUAUAGAGGUGAUCAUCUUAGUGUGUGAUCACACCAUGACAAAGUCCCGAAUCUAUACCCCCUUGUAUCCUCCUCAACUCAGCACAAACACCUGUUGUUGCAAUGUUUUGGAGCUAGGUGCAAAUCUCUUCUUUGCCCCUGGACCAAUUUGUUUCUUCAUAUAUAUACUAAGCGCACUAAGGUCUACCCAGUAGAUAUGGUUGGCCUGUCUAGAACACGCCGCUUGAGCCAGCUCACGCGGUGACCACGGGUCGUGCCAGCCAAAACUCGCGCUCUGGCAAGACCUCAGCGCUGUUCCCGUCGUCUCCCUCCUCUUCUCGACCUCAAACCUUAUCCAGGAGCUUCCCCGUGCUCGACUUCGUCACCCCGUGCGCGGGCCCCCUCCUGUUUCGCCAUAAAUGCGUCGCUAAAGCCGUGCCCGUGCCAUGCCCAGCCACUAUCCACCAUUAGAGACCUGUUGAAGCUACAGAGCCUGCACGAUCUCUCCCGCACCUCACCCAUCUCUCCCUCGCCUCAUUUGGUCACCAGGAUCGCCACAUCUCGCCAGAGUUCACCUCUGUCCUCCAUGGCCGCCUCGGCCUCGGCUUGGUUCCGACCAAACCGAGCCUCCUAUCCUCCUCCUACCACGUCCAACGAGUUCUACUCGUUCCACUCCCACCCCCUUGCCCCCUCGCCGGAGUCGCCCGUUUCGCCGGAACACCACCACGGCCGCCGCCCCUGGCCUCCUCUGGCGCCGCCUCUCCCCUCCACCUCACUCCUCCCCGGCGACUGUGUCUUCCCUGAACGGAGGCGCCUCGGUCCCGCGCACCCGCCGGUGGCCUCGGCUCGGCCGGAGGUGGCCUGCGCCCGCCGGCCCCUUGGCCGCUUCCUCCCCUGUCCCCUGCUCUGUUCCACGAGAGGAACAGAGGCACGGGGGGAAGAAGACGACCGAGGCCAGCGCCCCCCAUGCCGCUGGGCCCCUCCUGUAAGUGUCUGCCCCCUGGGUCCACGUGUUUAAGUGGAAACGGGUUUUACCCGAACGCGUUUUCCGUCAGUGAAAGCGUAUUUUCUUCCUCCUCCAGGCAAGAAUACGUUUUCCAAUUCAGAAAGCGUAAUCACUAAUAUAUGCCUCUGUCUUAUUCACUCAGGGACCCGUUGGUGAUGAAAAUAUUCACAGAUUGGUCCCUGAUCUUCUACACCUCAUAACUUCGCGACCGUAACUCCGAUUGAGGUGCAACCAACGCUCACUCCUUCGUCUCGUCGAGAUAUUUCUGUUGGUAGCAUUUUCACUAGGUGGUCUCACAGUGAAAAUGACCAUUUUGCCCUUGCCUCUAAGCAUCCCCUUCCGAGAGAGAACCGACCGACGUUUCGUUCCGCGGCUUCACCGCACUUCUUCCUAGAGUCUGCGUCACCCCCAGGCAAGCCAAAACACCCACUUGCAUGAUGGCCCUGCAGUAGCCAUGGUUUUCAACUUGAAUAUUUAAUAAAUGUCUGCUUGUUUUGAUACAGUUAUCGUUGUUUCCGUGAUGCUUAUGGAUUUGUGUUCACUGCCAUGCUAUGCUUUCUUGCACUUUGUUAUCAUGAACUACUUGCUAGUAUUACUUUCAUAUUGUCAUGCUUGAUAGUAGUACAUAUUGGUUGGUCAUGUUCUGCGGUGCAUGACUAAUGUCGGUUACCGAGAACCGUUGCUAUGCAUGUUUCCGUUGCACUAUUUGUUUACAUGCUUACUUGGUAGUAUUAUUGCUAUGUUCUUGCUUGGUAUUUAUCGUUGAUGCUAGUGAUCAUGUUAUGCUAUGAGUAGUGUUAUGCUUGUUAUAUUCAUGCUCGUCCAUAUGCCCUGCUCAUUCGGAUAUAUGAUUUAAUGUUGUGGAUAUGCUCGAUGAUUAUGUUGCACCUCCAUGCUUAUGUUGAUAUCAUGCUCAUGCAUUAUGGUUGCAUCAUGUUAUUUUUAAUAUGGCUCAACAUCAUUUGCAUUCAAGUUUAACCGGACUUAAAUGAACUUGAACAACUGUUGGCUGAGUCAUGUGAUACGUCUCCAUCGUAUCUACUUUUCCAAACACUUUUGCCCUUGUUUUGGACUCUAAUUUGUAUGAUUUGAAUGGAACUAACCCGGACUGACGCUAUUUUCAGCAGAAUUACCAUGGUGUUGUUUUAUGUGCAGAAAACAAAUAUUCUCGGAAUGACCUGAAACUUCACGGAACAUGUUAGAAAAAAUAAUAAAAAAUCCUCGCCAAAGAUGAAGACCAGGGGGGCCACACCCUUCUCACGAGGGUGGGGGGCGCCCCCCCUAGGGCGCGCCCCCUACCUCGUGGGCCCCCUGUUGCGUCUCCAACUCCAACUCCACCCCCAUAUAUUGAGUUUCGAUGAGAAAAAAAUCAGAGAGAAGAAAUCAUCGCGUUUUAUGAUACGGAGCCGCCGCCAAGCCCUAAAACCUCUCGGGAGGGAUGAUCUGGAGUCCGUUCGGGGCUCCGGAGAGGGGGAUUCGUCGGCGUCGUCAUCAUCAACCAUCCUCCAUCACCAAUUUCAUGAUGCCCACCGCCGUGUGUGAGUAAUUCCAUCGUAGGCUUGCUGGACGGUGAUGGGUUGGAUGAGAUUUAUCAUGUAAUCGAGUUAGUUUUGUUAGGGUUUGAUCCCUAGUAUCCACUAUGUUCUGAGAUUGAUGUUGCUAUGACUUUGCUAUGCUUAAUGCUUGUCACUAGGGCCCGAGUGCCAUGAUUUCAGAUCUGAACCUAUUAUGUUUUCAUGAAUAUAUGUGAGUUUUUGAUCCUAUCUUGCAAGUCUAUAGUCACCUACUAUGUGUUAUGAUCCAGCCAUUCCGAAGUGACAAUAAUCGGGACCACUCCCGGUGAUGACCAUAGUUUGAGGAGUUCAUGUAUUCACUAUGUGCUAAUGCUUUGUUCCGGUUCUCUAUUAAAAGGAGACCUUAAUAUCCCUAAGUUUCCAAUAGGACCCCGCUGCCACGGGAGGGUAGGACAAAAGAUGUCAUGCAAGUUCUUUUCCAUAAGCACGUAUGACUAUAUACGGAAUACAUGCCUGCAUUACACUGAUGAAUUAGAGCUAGUUCUGUGUCACCCUAUGUUAUGACUGUUACAUGAUGAACCGCAUCCGGCAUAAUUAUCCAUCACUGAUUCGGUCCCUACGAGUUUUCCAUAUACAGGUUCUCGCUUAUUUACUUUCCACUGCUACUGUUACAAUCACUACAAAAUACCAAAAACAUUAUUUUUGAUGCCUUUGCUUUUGUUGCCGCUACCACCACUAUCAUAUUACUUUGCUACUAAACACUUUGCUGCAGAUACUAAGUUUCCAGGUGUGGUUGAAUUGACAACUCAGUUGCUAAUACUUGAGAAUAUUCUUUGGCUCCCCUUGUGUCGAAUCAAUAAAUUUGGGUUGAAUACUCUACCCUCGAAAGUUGUUGCGAUCCCCUAUACUUGUGGGUUAUCAAGACUAAUUUCUGGCGCCGUUGCCGGGGAGCAUAGCUCUAUUCUUUGAGUCACUUGGGAUUUAUAUCUGCUGGACAAUUUAUAUCUGAAGAACUUGAGAGAUCCAAAAACCAAGAUCUAUCCCUCAACUACGAGGGGAGGUAAGGAACUGCCAUCUAGCUCUGCACUUGAUUCUCCUUCUGUUAUGAGUAAGUUAGCGACACCUACACCUGCUUCUGCUAUUCGUUCUGAUAUGUCGCAUGUUAUUGAUGAUGCCACUUCUGCUAUGCAUGAUACUUAUGAUGAAACUACUUCUAUGCCUGAUACUACUGUGCCCCUUAGUGAAUUUCUUGAUGAACAAAUUGCUAGGGCUAGAGAAAAAGAAAUUAUUGAAUCUGAAUACGAUGAUGAAAGUGAUGAUGAAAAUAUGCCUGUUAUUCCUGAGGGUUAUCUUUUCGAUAUGGAAUCUUCUGCCGCUAUUUUAGCUUGCAAAGAUAGAUAUGAGCUUAAGAGGUUAUUAAUUAAAUGGAACAAAGAAUCACUUAGAGAUAAAAUGAAACCCGACCCUGCCUUUGCUACUUCACCUAUAUGUGUUCCUGAUAAGGAUUAUGAAUUCUCUGUUGAUCCUGAUAUAAUUACUUUGGUUGAAUCUGAUCCGUUUUAUGGCUAUGAAUCUGAAACUGUUGUGGCACAUCUUACUAAGUUAAAUGAUAUAGCUGCCCUGUUCACUAAUGAUGAGAGAUCGCGUUACUUUAAUAUACUCAAAAUAUUUCCGUUCUCAUUAAAGGGUGAUGUUAAAAUAUGGUUUAAUUCUCUUGAUCCUGAUUGUGUGCGUAGUCCCCAGGAUAUGAUUUAUUACUUCUCUGCUAAAUAUUUCCCUGCUCAUAAGAAACAAGCUGCUUUGAGGGAAAUAUACAACUUUGUGCAUAUUAAAGAAGAGAGUCUCCCACAAGCUUGGGGGAGGCUUCUCAAGUUACUUGAUGCUUUGCCUGAUCAUCCUCUUAAGAAACCUGAAAUACUUGAUAUCUUUUAUAAUGGACUAACCGAUGCUUUCAGAGAUUACCUGGAUAGUUGUGCUGGUUCUCUUUUCAGGGAAAGAACACCGGAUGAAGCUGAAAUUCUAUUGAAUAAUAUGUUGACAAAUGAAAAUAAUUGGGCACCUCCUGAGCCAACUCCUUCUCCAAUUACUGAGCCUAUUCUUAAACCAACUCCGAAGAAGAGAGGUGUUCUAUUUCUCAAUCCCGAAGAUAUGCAAGAGGCAAAGAAAUCUAUAAAAGAAAAAGGUAUUAAAGAUGAAGACAUUAAGAAUUUACCUUCUAUUGAAGAAAUACAUGGUCUUAAUAUACCGCCUGUUGAAGAAACAUAUGAUCUCAAUUCUUUAUUUAUUGAAGAACCUCUUGAUCCUAAUAUCUCGACUCAGGUAGUAAAGGUAAAUUCUCUCUAUAGAUAUGAUAAAGCCGAAGUCCCUCCUACUAAAAUUGCUAGUCAGUGCUUGGAUGAGUUUGAUAACUUUAUGUUUAAGCAAGACGACUUCAAUGCUUAUUUUGGUAGACAAUUAAAAGAAAAUGCUUAUAUGAUUAGACGCUUGGGUGAUUAUAUGGCUGAUAUUAAAGGUGAACUUAAACUUGUUAGCAAACAUGCUUCUAUGGUUACCACUCAACUAGAACAAGUACUUAAAGCUCAAAAAGAAGUGCUUGAUGAAAUGAAUAGUAAGAAAAAUGAUUAUGCUGUUAGAGUGGCUACUAGAACUGGUAGAAUGACUCAUGAACCUUUGUAUCCUGAAGGCCACCCUAAGAGAAUCGAGCAAGAUUCUCAAAGAAAUAAUAUUGAUGUUCCUAGUUCUUCUAAAAAGAAGAAGAAGAAAAAUGAUAGAACUGUGCAAACUUCUAGUGAACCUAUUGUUGAACCACCUGAUAAUCCAAAUGAUAUAUCUAUGUCUGAUGCUGAAACACAAUCUGGUAAUGAACAUGAACCUAAUGAAAAUAUUAAUGCUGAUGUUCAUGAUGAUGCUCAACCUAGUAAUAACAAUGAUGUAGAAAUUGAACCUGCUGUUGAUCUUGAUAACCCGCAAUCAAAGAAUCAACGUUAUGAUAAAAGAGACUUUGUUGCUAGGAAACAUGGUAAAGAAAGGGAACCUUGGGUUCAGAAACCCAUGCCUUUUCCUCCAAAACCAUCCAAGAAAAAGGAUGAUGAGGAUUUUGAGCGCUUUGUUGAAAUGAUUAGGCCUAUCUUUUUGCGUAUGAGAUUAACUGAUGUGCUCAAAACAAAUCCUUAUGCUAAAUAUACGAAGGAUAUCAUUACUAAUAAAGAAAGAUACCAGAAGCUGAGAUUUCCACCAUGCUUGCUAAUUAUACUUUUUAAGGGUGGAAUACCAAAGAAACUUGGAUACCCUGUAGUACCUACUAUACCUUGCUCCAUCAAAAGAAAUUAUAUUAAAACUGCUUUAUGUGAUCUUGGAGCCGGUGUUAGUGUUAUGCCUCUCUCUUUAUAUCGUAGACUUGAAUUGAAUAAGCUGACACCUACUGAAAUAUCUUUGCAAAUGGCUGAUAAAUCAACUGCUAUACCUGUCGGUAUUUGUGAGGAUGUGCCUGUUGUGGUUGCAAACGUUACUAUUUUAACGGAAUUUGUUAUACUUGAUAUUCCCGAGGAUGAUAGUAUGUCUAUUAUUCUUGGAAGACCUUUUCUUAAUACUACAGGGGCUGUUAUUGACUGCAACAAAGGCAAUGUCACUUUUCAUGUUAAUGGUAAUGAGCAUAUGCUACACUUUCCGAGGAAACAACCUCAAGUUCAUAGUAUCAACUCUAUUGGAAAAAUUCCAUCGAUUAUAUUUGGAGGUUUUGAAUUUCCUCUUCCUAUUGUCAAGAAGAAAUAUGAUAUACUUAUUAUAGGGGAUGUGCAUAUCCCCGUUGAGGUAACUUAGUGUUAUUUGAAAUUUCUCCGGUUUCAUGAUUAUCGGAAUGAGUUUGUUAACAAGACUUGAUCAACCUUGUUAGUGGAUUCCUUUUGAUGAGCAUGAGAUGGAUGAAACUAGAAGCACAAACUUCUGUACCCUCUCUAUAUUUUCUGUUAUUUAUAUUAAAUAAAGUAAAAAUAGUAUUUUUCUGUCUGUUUCCUGGCUUAUCCGUACAAUAUAAAAAUAUCUCGAAAAUAAAAGUCCUCAGAAUGACAUGCCAAUUUAAUAUGAUUUUUUCAGGAAUAUUUGAGGAUUUACUGUGCAAAAAUUACCGCGGGAGGAGCUGCCACCUGGUCACGAGGGUGGUGGGCGCCCCCCCCUAUAGGGUGCGCCCCCUGCCUCGUGGGCCCACGGUGGCCCUCCUCCACUUAUCCCAGCACCCAUCUUCUUCCUCUAUCUCACACAAGCCUGAAAACCAACUCAAGCACGAGUUCCAGCCACUUUGGUGUGAUUUUUGAUCUCCUUGCUCAAAGCACCUCUCGCAAAACUGCUUGGGGAGAUUGUCCCUUGGUAUGUGACUCCUCCAUUGGUCCAAUUAAUUCUUGUUCUAGUGCUUUAUUCUUUGCAAAUUUGUGUUGCAUAGGUGACCAUGUUCUUGAGCUUGCAUGUCAAAUUUAUAUGGUUCCAAGUAGUUCUAAUGCUUGAUAUAGGCUCUAGGCACUUGUAGGAGUAGUUGCUAUCAGUUUUAUUGAGUUUGGUUACUUUUAUUUUGAAGUUACUAAGAAUUUCAGAUUAUUUCAGAAAAAUAAUGAGGAGAUUUUUUUAGGGGCUCAUCAAGCCAAAGCUCAAAGGAAAAGGCACCGAAGCCUAAGUAUAAUUUGCCGCGCACCGCGGAGAUUCGGGCGUACGAAUGGCCUUCUGAAGAUUUCUUGAGAGCAGCCAGUAUCUAUGAAGAUUUUCAUGAAUUGGCUCAUAAUGCAGGCCUCACCGCUUUCCUCCACGACCAAUGCGAUCAGUAUCUCUUGCUCACAAAUACUUUUGUGCAAAACUUUCAUUUUCAUUCUAGGAACUCACCACAUACGGUGGAGUUUCAUUUAUAUGAUGAGCAUAAGGAGAUGUCACUUUAUGAUUUCUGUCGGAUUUGUUUAAUCCCUUUUGAGGGCAAGACAGAAGAACCACAUCAUGAUGAUGUGGCUGGGUUUAUUGAUACUAUCACUAUAGGAGAAACUAGAAAGGUUUCCGAUGCAUGAAUCACUAGCAUGCAUUUUCCUGUUUUACGUUACUUUGCAUUAUUUGCUAGUCGUUGUUUAAUUGGACACGGAAACAGUGGAAACCUUAGUAUCCCUGAUAUAAUUAUUCUUCACCACGGUUUAUACAGUGAUAACACUUUUAGUUUGGGCGGUAUUAUUGCUAGACGGUUAAGUAUGAACCGUACUAAGGGUCCCAUCUUUGGAGGUGUUUAUGCCACACGCCUAGCUGCACAUUUUAACAUACCUAUUAGGCAUGCCAAGAAGGAAGAAAAUGUGCUGCCCCGUGUUUAUCUAGAUCAUAAAAGUAUGGUGGCACAUGAUUUCAUUGUUAAGAAUAGGGAAGGAGAGCUUAAGUAUCAAUUAUUCUUUAACAAACAUCACCCUGAGACUAUUACCCUGCCUGCUCCUUCUUUGUUUAAUUUUGUAGGACCCUACCUCGUUACGUGGGCUGCCGUCCAAGCUUACAAGAAUCCUGUACCAGCCCCAGAACAAGAACCACAAGAUGAGCCUCCACGACAAUCUGUUUAUUCUUGGGAUCCAGAGCUGACUGUCAGCCAGUGGCAGUCAGAGUCUUCUUCUUCAUCACAGUAUGAUUGCAACUAUUCUUCCGCAUCAUAGUAUGACCCCAACAACUAUUACUAUGGAUAUCCGCCAGGCCAGCCGUGGCCAUAGACCAACUUAGGCCAAAAGCCUAAGCUUGGGGGAGUACAUAUUUCUCACCGACAUUACAUUUAUGUUCACACACACUCAUUGCUAGAUGUCGGUGCUCAUACUUUUUCACUGUAAUAUCCAUGCUAGUUUAUUUUCUUUUUCCUGCUUUCUUCUUGUGUGUUUAGUAAAUCUUAAGAAAAACCAAAAAAUUAGAAUUAGUUUAUUUUUCUGCUGUACUAGUAAUAAUUAAAAAAGAAAACCCAAAAAAUAUUUCCCGUUCUUCUUUUGCUUGUUGGGAGCUUUCCCGUGUAAAUAGUUUUAUUUCUUUUCUUUGGGGGUCAGUAGGAGAAGACCAUAAUUAAAUUGUUGAAGUGGCUCUUAUAUGCAUUAUUGUUGAUCUAACCAAGAGCCCAUAUUGCCUUGUCUUCUCCUGUUUAUUGAAUGCUCGCAGAUUUCAGCUUAGUCCAAUGCACGUACACUCUUAUUAUUAUUCACACCGUUCGGUCGUGCAAGUGAAAGGCAAUUAUGAUGAUAUAUGAUGGACUGACUGACAUAAGAAAAGCUGGUAUGAACUUGAACUCUUUUGUUUUUGUAAAUAUGAUGAGUCCCUCGUUCUUGAUUCAGCUUAUUAUGAAUAAACAUGUUUGCAAUGACAAUUAGAGAUCAUAGUUGCUUGUGCCAUGCUUGAUUAGCUAUGAGUUAUAAUGGUUUACCUUGUGUGCCAACAUGCUAUUGAGAUGAUUAUGAUGUGGUAUGAUGGGGUGGUAUCCUCCUUUGAAUGAUUUAAGUGACUUGACUUGGCACAUGUUCACGCAUGUAGUUGAAACAAAUCAACAUAGCCUUCACGAUAUUUAUGUUCAUGGUGGAUUAUAUCCUACUCAUGCUUGCAUCCAAUCUUUAUUAAUUUUAAUGCAUGUACAUGGCUGUUGUCGCUCUCUAGUUGGUCGUUUCCCAGUCUUUUGCUAGCCUUCACUUGUACUAAGCGGGAAUACUGCUUGUGCAUCCAAUCCCUUAAACCCCAAAGUUAUUCCAGAUGAGUCCACUAUACCUUCCUAUAUGCGGUAUCUACCUGCCGUUCCAAGUAAAUUUGUAUGUGCCAAACUCUAAACCUUCAAAUAAACAUUCUGUUUUGUAUGCUCGAAUAGCUCAUGUAUCAACAAAGGCUGUCCUUAUCUUCCAUGUUAGGCGGGUUAUUCUCAAGAGGAGUGGACUCCGCUCCUCACUCACGAGAAAAUGGCUGGUCACCGGGAUGCCCAGUCCCAUACUUUAUGCAAACUAACUCAAAAUUAAUUGCAAGCAAAACUCCCCCUGGGACCUGAUGUAUGUUGGAGGCACUCGUUGUUUCGAGCAAGCCAUGGAUUGAUGCUUGUUGGUGGAGGGGGAGUAUAAACUUUACCAUUCUGUUUGGGAACCGCCUAUAAUGUGUUUAGUAUGGAAGAUAUUGCCAUCUCUUAGUUGUUACGUUGACAAUGAAAGUAUACCGCUCAAAAUACAAUUUAUCUCUAUUUUAAAACCGAGCUCUGGCUCCUCUACAUAUCCCUGCUUCCCUCUGCGAAGGGCCUAUCCAUUACUUUUAUGUUGAGUCAUCACCCUCUUAUUAAAAAGCACUAGCUGGAGAGCACAGCCGUCAUUUGCAUUCAUCACUAUUAAUUUAUAUUGGGUAUGACUAUGAUUGAAUCUCUUUUACCAUGAAUUACAAUGUCUAGUCAGUCCUUGAUCUUUAAAGGUGCUCUACAUUUAUGUUUUGCGGUCUCAGAAAGGGCUAGUGAGAUACCAUCUUGUUAUAUCAUAUUAUGAUUGUUUUGAGAAAGUGUUGUCAUCCGAGAUUUAUUAUUAUGACUUGCUAGUUGAUUAUGCUAUUGAUAUGAGUAAUUAUGAGACCUGAGAAUUAUUGCAAAUGUGGUUAGUUAUGAUCUAUGUUGAAAACUUGAAUGCUGGCUUGACAUAAUUACAACAACAAGAGCAAACAGAGUUUGUAAAAGUUUUUCUUUCUUUCUUUCAGUUUGUCAACUGAAUUGCUUGAGGACAAGCAAGGGUUUAAGCUUGGGGGAGUUGAUACGUCUCCGUCGUAUCUACUUUUCCAAACACUUUUGCCCUUGUUUUGGACUCUAAUUUGUAUGAUUUGAGUGGAACUAACCCAGACUGACGCUGUUUUCAGCAGAAUUACCAUGGUGUUGUUUUAUGUGCAGAAAACAAAUAUUCUCGGAAUGACCUGAAACUUCACGCAACAUCUUAGAAAAAAUAAAAAAAAAUCCUCGCCAAAGAUGAAGACAAGGGGGCCCACACCCUUCUCACGAGGGUGGGCCCCCCCUAGGGCGCGCCCCCCUACCUCGUGGGCCCCUGUUGCGUCUCCGACUCCAACUCCACCUCCAUAUAUUGAGUUUCGAUGAGAAAAAAUCAGAGAGAAGAAAUCAUCGCGUUUUACGAUACGGAGCCGCCGCCAAGCCCUAAAACCUCUCGGGAGGGCUGAUCUGGAGUCCGUUCGGGGCUCCGGAGAGGGGGAUUCGUCGACGUCGUCAUCAUCAACCAUCCUCCAUCACCAAUUUCAUGAUGCUCACCGCUGUGCGUGAGUAAUUCCAUCGUAGGCUUGCUGGCCGGUGAUGGGUUGGAUGAGAUUUAUCAUGUAAUUGAGUUGGUUUUGUUAGGGUUUGAUCCCUAGUAUCCACUAUGUUCUGAGAUUGAUGUUGCUAUGACUUUGCUAUGCUUAAUGCUUGUCACUAGGGCCCGAGUGCCAUGAUUUCAGAUCUGAACCUAUUAUGUUUUCAUGAAUAUAUGCGAGUUCUUGAUCCUAUCUUGCAAGUCUAUAGUCACCUACUAUGUGUUAUGAUCCGGCAACCCCGAAGUGACAAUAAUCGGGAUCACUCCCGGUGAUGACCAUAGUUUAAGGAGUUCAUGUAUUCACUAUGUGUUAAUGCUUUGGUCCGGUACUCUAUUAAAAGGAGGCCUUAAUAUCCCUUAGUUUCCAAUUGGACACGUUGCCACGGGAGGGUAGGACAAAAGAUGUCAUGCAAGUUCUUUUCCAUAAGCAUGUAUGACUAUAUUUCGAAUACAUGCAUACAUUACAUUGAUGAAUUGGAGUUAGUUCUGUGUCACCCUAUGUUAUAACUGUUGCAUGAAUAAUCGCAUCCAACAUAAUUCUCCAUCACCGAUCCAUUGCCUAUGAGCUUUUCAUAUAUUGUUCUUCUCUUAUUUACUUUUCCGCUGCUACUGUUACAAUACAAAACCCAAAAAUAUUACUUUUGCUACCGUUACCACUACUAUCAUAUUACUUUGCUAAUAAACACUUUGCUACAGAUAUUAAGUUUCUAGGUGUGGUUGAAUUGACAACUCAGCUGCUAAUACUUGAGAAUAUUCUUUGGCUCCCCUUGUGUCGAAUCAAUAAAUUUGGGUUGAAUACUCUACCCUCGAAAACUAUUGCGAUCCCCUAUACUUGUGGGUUAUCAAACGGUUACCCUUAACCAUUGGAAGUUGGCAGCCAUGUUUUCCCCUCAGACCUAAUAAUUCUGGAGUCUCAAGGAUUUUAUGUGAUACUAGGUAUGGAUUGGCUAUCAAAGUAUGGAGGAAACAUUGAUUGUGCCAGUAAGUCAAUUCUGCUCACCACCACGGAGGGAAAAGGAUUAAGUAUGUAUCCAGGCAUACCCCAAAGAGGACUCACGUAAAAUCCCUCACGGGCGUUGUUCAAGAGGAAGUGCCUGUGGUGAGGGAUUAUCCGGAUGUAUUUCCAGAGGAGCUACCAGGCUAUGGUGAGGGAUUAUCGUGCAUUGAAUGAAGUGACGAUCAAGAACAAGUACCCAUUGCCGAUGAUCAAUGAUUUGUUUGACCAGUUACAAGGAGCUAAAGUAUUUUCCAAGAUCGAUCUUCGAUCAGGAUGCCACCAGCUGAAGAUCCGAGAACAGGAUAUACCUAAGACAGCCUUCACCACAAGGUACGGGCUAUAUGAGUACACGGUUAUGUCAUUUGGAUUGACGAACGCCCCAGCCUAUUUCAUGAGUAUGAUGAAUAAGGUGUUCACGGAGUUGUUGAAUAAAUUUGUCAUGGUGUUCAUUGAUGACAUUUUGGUAUACUCGAAGAAUGAAGAGGAAUACAAGGAGCAUUUGUGUUUAGUUCUCGAGAAGCUCAGGGAACAUCAGUUAUACACCAAGUUCAGCAAAUGUGAGUUUUGGUUGAAGGAAGUUGGAUUCCUUGGACAUGUUAUAUCAGGAGAAGGUAUAGCAGUAGACUCUACUAAGGUUCAGUUAGUCACUGAGUUGUUGGCACCCACCUCAGUUGGAGAGAUCCGCAGUUUUCUGGGACUCGCGGGAUAUUACCGGAGGUUCAUCGAGAAUUUCUCUAAGAUUGCGAAGCCUAUGAUGGAGUUUUUGAAAAAGGACACCAAGUUCAAAUGGACAGAUGAAUGUGAGGCAAGUUUCUAGGAGUUGAAGAAACGUUUGGUAACAGCCCUAGUGCUGAUUCUGCCGGAUAUACGCAAGGAUUUCCAAGUGUGUUGCGACGCAUCUCGCUUAGGACUUGGAGGCGUACUUAUGCAAGAUGGAAGAGUUGUUGCAUAUGCCUCACGUCAGCUUCGACCGCAUGAGUUGAAUUAUGCCACACAUGAUUUGGAGUUAGCAGCAGUAGUGCAUGCGCUCAAGACCUGGAGACAUUUUCUUAUUGGAAAAUCACUGUGAUGUGUACACGGAUCAUAAGAGUUUGAAGUACAUUUCCACACAGAAGGAGUUGAAUCUUAGGCAAAGGAGAUGGUUCGAGCUUAUAAAGGAUUAUGAUAUGAAGUUGCACUAUCAUCCAUGCAAGGCCAAUGUCGUAGCAGACGCUUUGAGCCGGAAGAGUUAUGCCAAUACCCACGUAAGCGUAGGAUUACCAACAGAGUUAGCCGAAAAUCUCAGGGAGCUACGUUUGGAGAUAGUCCAUAGAGGUUUUGUUGCAGCUUUAGAAAUUCAGUCGACAUUAUUGGGAAAGAUUCGAGAAGCUCAGAAGGAUGAUAAGGAAAUUGCUGAGAUAAAUGAGAAGAUGGGCAAAGGAAAAGCCAAAGGUUUUCGUGAAGAUUAGCACGAUACCUUAUGGUUUGAGGAUCGUGUUUAUGUGCCCAAUAAUGCAUAUAUCAAGAAGUUAAUACUUCAGGAAGCUCAUGACUCACCAUAUUCAAUACACCCCGGAAACACCAAGAUGCAUUUGGAUUUAAAGGAGCAUUUCUGGUGGACUGGUAUGAAGAAGGAUAUUGCCGAGUAUGUAGCUGUAUGUGAUGUAUGUCAGAGAGUGAAGGCAGAGCAUCAGAAGCCAGUAGGAUUACUGCAGCCUAUGUUGAUACCCAAAUGGAAGUGGGACAAGCUUGGCAUGGAUUUUAUCACCGAAUUACCCAGGACCCGAUCGGGAUAUGAUUCUAUCUGGGUAGUAGUGGAUCAUCUGACCAAAGUAGCUCCCUUUAUCGCAGUGAAAACCACCUAUACAAGUGUGAAGUUGGCCAAGAUAUAUAUGACCAGGAUCGUAUGUCUGCAUGGAGUUCUGAGGACUAUCAUAUUAGAUAGAGGAACACCGUUUACUUCAAAGUUUUGGCACCAGCUGCACCAGACCUUGGGCACCAGGCUAGAGUUCAGUACAACUUUUCAUCCGCAGACAGAUGGACAGACCGAGAGAGUCAAUCAGAUUCUGGAGGACAUGUUGAGAGCUUGUGCGCUUGAUUAUGGAUCUAGUUGGGAUGAUAAUUUGCCCUGCACAGAAUUCUCUUACAACAACAGUUAUCAAGCUAGUUUGAAGAUGGCACCUUUCGAAGCUCUGUAUGGAAGAAGGUGCAGGACACCAUUAAUGUGGUAUGAAGUUGGAGACCGCCAGUUGUUUGGACCAGAUUUGAUUAAAGAAUCAGACGAGAAGGUUAAGUUGAUUCGAGACAGGCUGGAGGUAGCUCAGUCCAGGCAGAAGAGUUAUACAGACUCAAAAUGCAAGGAGGUAGUCUAUGAAAUCGGAGACAGGGCAUAUCUUCGGGUAUCACCCCUACGAGGAGUUAAACGCUUUGGAGUCAAGGGAAAGUUAGCCCCAAGAUUUGUAGGACCAUACCGAGUUCUGGAACAUAUGUGAGAGGUGGCAUACAAGUUGGAGUUACCCGAAGGACUGUUAGGAGUUCACGAUGUGUGCCACGUUUCCCAGUUGAAGAAGUGCGAUGCAGAGAUGGCUGAUAUUCCUCUGAGAGAUACAGUGCCCUUGGAAGCAAUUCAGUUGGAUAGUGAUCUGACCUAUGAGGAGAAAUCAGUCAAGAUUCUCGAGUUUGCCAGCUGAGUUACCCGCAGCAAGGUUAUCAAGUUUUGCAAAGUUCAAUGGAGCCACCAUACCGAGGAUGAAGCCACCUGGGAAUGAGAGGAAGAUCUACGGAAAGACCACCCACACCUAUUUUCUAGCCAACCCGAAUCUCGAGGACGAGAUUCAUCUUAAGGGGGUAGGUUUGUAACAUCCCAAAUUUUCAAUUUGAAAUGUUAUACAUAGGACAUCAUAUGCAUAUCAUAUUUUAUUUGCAUUUUGGCGUGAUCCUAAAAAUCCUAAGCAACUCAAGGACCCACGAAGAGAGUUGGAGAUUUUAUUAUUUUCAUAUUUGAAUUUUCUCAAAUAUUGAAAAGUGGGUCACUUCGGUUUUAAUUAUUUUUCCUCUCCAAAUAAUAUUUUCAAUAUUAAAAAUAUAUGAGAGGAGAUUAUAUGACUUCUCCAAAAUAAAUGAAAUAUUGGAGGAAAAACGUUAAAAUCAAAUAAUAAUUUUUAUUUGGAUUUUAUUGCUAUUUUAUUUGAAUUAGAAAAAUAUGCAUUUUUUAAAAUUGCAUUUUAGGCCAAGAAAAUGUUCACUUUGUUCUAAAUAUUCUAUUCAGACGGUGAAAAUUAUUUUUGGUAUUUUUAGAUUUUUAUUUUUAUUUAUUUAGGAUUUUUCUCGGCGGAAUCUUAUUUAAAAAAAGUUUAUUCUGGACCGAACUAGGCCGAGGCCCAGCCGGCCCAGCCGCGCGCCUCCCGCUCCGACUCGGGAGAGGACUCCUGAGCGCCGCCGCCGCCAUGGACGUGUCCGUCUUGGACAGGUCGCCGCGCCCCCUUCCCCAAGCACCCAGCCCCCCGGCCUUUAAAUACCCAUCGUCGCCCCUCGCCACCACCCCGAGCCGCGCCGCCAGCCCCGCCUCCUGCGCCUAGCGCCGCCCUCGCCUAGCCCCAUCCAAGCCGCCGCCUCAUGCUGCCCCGUCCGCCAGAAUCGAGCCAUCGGAGCCGUUGGAUCCGUCGCCAGGUUUUUUCCGGUUUAGGUAAAAUCGUUCGUUUUAAAAAAACUAGUUGUUUUUUUGAUCGGUUUGGUUUUUUCGGUUUAGUUAUUUAGCAUUCUUUCGUUCGUUUUAACGAACGAAUUCGUUCUUUAGCCUCUGUUAGCGGACGUUCGUCCGAUAGAUUUUUCUUUUUCUGUUUAUUUUUGGCCAGUGACCUAUCUGUGAUUGUUUUAUCACAGAUUAGCCCCUGAUCUUCAAACCCUCGCCGUUUCUUAACCGUUUGUCCAAAUCCAGUGAAACCAACGCCAAAAUCUUCAUCUCGAACCCCUCUUUAUGUUUAAUCAACUUUAACAAGGUUUUGACAAUUUAAAACUUGGUUUCAAGCAUAUUUGUUUACGAAGUUCUUUUGACCGUAGUUUCAGUUCCGUAGCUCCAAUUCGAUUGAUUCUUUUUGCAGAUCGAAGCUCUUCAGUUGAACUUUCAGUUUGGAUCUUCCUAUUUGAAGUUUUACCCUUGCAUAUUUGCUUGAGUGCUUAUGUAUGCUAUUGUUUGUUUGUGAUAGAAUUCCCGGAGUGUGCAACGUGCUACUACGAGUCUCUAGGUUUUGCGGAUCAUCAGCAAGGCAAGUAACACUUUGAUCAUACUCUUUUCUUACCCGGUUUUAUGCAUUAGUUACAACCCUUAAUCAUUGCAUGAGUAAGAUCUCUUAACAUGUGGGUUCUGGGAAGUAGAUAAUAAGGUAGAACCUAUUGCCCUUUUUUAUUAUCAAACCCCUGGGAGUUACUUCUACGUUAUGCUUAUACCGCCAUGCUAUGCUCGUAGACAUGGAUUGGGUUUGCGUGUAUCCAUGACAGAUGUGAGAUUGUUAAUUAAUGGUUAACUUAAGGUGGCUACUUAAAUAAACAUCUAGGUGGAUUGGUUGCGGGCACCUGGAGAAUUUAGUGUUGUCCUAGGAUAUCCCGGAGUACCCGUGUGAUCAUCCUAUGGUUCGCCACCUAGGCUCAAAGGGAUCAUAAGAUUAUUCAUGCUAGAAACUUCCGUGUGCAGCCACACGCUAUUAUGGGCUCUAGCGUAGUGGAGUAAGUUGCAUGACCUCUUCUAGUGGUAGGCUAGCAGAUGUAGGGGGUGUAGGUUGGUACGGUCUACCCAGGGUUAGAGUUAAUGCUUCUGAAAGACUGUGUCUUGGCCAUCCGUUUCUCAAACACCAUGUAGUGCGAGAAAUACAAUGGAGGAGAUCGAGUCUUGUGGGGAAAAAUGUGCAAACCCCUGCAGAGUGUAUAAACUAAUCAUGGUUAGCCGUGUCCCCGAUUAUGGACAUCUUGAGUAUCUGGAUCUUGGAUUAUCAUGUUGAUCUCAUCACUCUGCUAAUUUAAUUUGGUUGGGUUUUUAAGACUGUUUAAUUUGGAUUGAGUUGGAGGAACCUUCUCAAUGUUUAAUAAUUACCAUGAUAGUUAAAUUAAAUAUAUUCCUUUGUUGUAGGGAAAAAUUGGCUUUUCGCAAAAACAUUAUAACCGUAGAGCCUCCACCAGCCUCAUAUGCAUGUAGUGAUAGUCUUGACUUGUUCAUUGCUCUAUUGUGUUAUCUUGCCAGCACAUUCCUUGUGUUGACCCGUUUUGGGCUGCAACCUAUCAUGUUGCAGACUUUCCAGACGAAGAAUAAGGUGCGCUAGGUCGUUGUCGUGCACUCAGUUAUGCUGUUGGAAUUGAUGGACUCACUUUAUCUUCCAAGCCUUCCGAUGUUAUCUUAGAUGACCUUAAUGUUGGGGAACGUUGCAGAAAACAAAAAAUUUCCUACGGUUUCACCAAGAUCCAUCUAUGAGUUCAUCUAGCAACGAGUGAUCGGAUGCAUCUACAUACCUUUGUAGAUCGCGAGCGGAAGCGUCCAAAGAACGGGGAUGAGGUAGUCGUACACGACGUGAUCCAAAUCACCGGAGAUCCUAGCGCCGAACGGACGGCACCUCCGCGUUCAACACACGUACGGUCAGCAUGACGUCUCCUCCUUCUUGAUCCAGCAAGGGGAAGGAGAGGUUGAAGAUGAUCCAGCAGCACGACGGCGUGGUGGUGGAUGCAGGGCGUCACAGCAGCAGGGCUUCACCGUAUACUACGAGAGGAAGAGGUGUAGCAGGGGAGAGGGAGGCGCCAAGACUCAAGGUACGGGCUGCCCCCUCCCCCCCUCAUAUAUAUAGGCUCCCCUAGGGGGGGCGCCGGCCCUAGGAGAUGAGAUCUCCUAGGGGGGCGGCGGCCAGGGCUGGAGUGGCCCCCAAGGCAAGGUGGGGCGCCCCCACCCCUAGGGUUUCAACCCUAGGCGCAUGGGGUGGGCCUAGGGGGCGCACCAGCCCACUAUGGGCUGGUUCCCCUCCCCACUUUGGCCCAUGGGGCCCUCCGGGAUGGGUGGUCCCACCCGGUGGACCCCCGGGACCCUUUCGGUGGUCCCGGUACAAUACCCGUGACCCCGAAACUUGUCCCGAUGGCCGAGACAGCACUUCCUAUAUAUAAUUCUUUACCUCCGGACUAUUCCGAAACUCCUCGUGACAUCCGGGAUCUCAUCCGGGACUCCGAACAACAUUCGGGUUACUGCAUAUACAUAUCUUCACAACCCUAGCGUCACCGAACCUUAAGUGUGUAGACCCUACGGGUUCGGGAGACAUGUAGACAUGACCGAGACGACUCUCCGGUCAAUAACCAAUAGCGGGAUCUGGAUACCAAUGUUGGCUCCCACAUGCUCCUCGAUGAUCUCAUCGGAUGAACCACGACGUCGAGGAUUCAAGCAACCCCGUAUACAAUUCCCUUUGUUAAUCGGUAUGUUACUUGCCCAAGAUUCGAUCGUCGGUAUCCCAAUACCUUGUUCAAUCUCGUUACCGCGAGCCUCAACACUCAUUGGACCACACACAUCAGUAUGUAUGAUUUCCAAUAAGUUGGUUGCUCGCUCCAUUGUUCCUGAGAACGGAGUCUUGGUCAUUUUACCCAUGAGGCAUUGUUCGCACGUGUCAAAUGAUUCAUAAUCAAGAGACUCUAAAAGUCCAUCUGCAUGGAGCUUCUUCAUGCGUUUGACACCUAUGUGACCAAGGCGGCAGUGCCACAAGUAUGUGGGACUAUCAUUAUCAACCUUACAUCUUUUGGUAUCCACACUAUGAACAUGUGUAGCAUUACGCUCGAGAUUCAUUAAGAAUAAACCAUUCACCAUCGGAGCAUGACCAUAAAACAUAUCUCUCAUAUAAAUAGAACAACCAUUAUUCUCGGAUUUAAAUGAGUAGCCAUCUCGAAUUAAACGAGAUCCCGAUACAAUGUUCAUGCUCAAAGCCGGUACUAAAUAACAAUUAUUGAGGUUUAAAACUAAUCCCGUGGGUAAAUGCAGAGGUAGCGUGCCGACGGCGAUCACAUCGACCUUGGAACCAUUCCCGACGUGCAUCGUCACCUCGUCCUUCGCUAGUCUCCGUUUAUUCCGCAGCUCCUGCUUUGAGUUACAAAUGUGAGCAACUGCACCGGUAUCAAAUACCCAGGAGCUACUACAAGUGCUAGUAAGGUACACAUCAAUUACAUGUAUAUCACAUAUACCUUUUGUUUUGCCGGCCUUCUUGUACGCUAAGUAUUUGGGGCAGUUCCGCUUCCAGUGACCACUUCCCUUGCAAUAAAAACACUCAGUCUCGGGCUUGGGUCCAUUCUUUGGCUUCUUCCCGGCAGCUUGCUUGCCGGGCGCGGCAACUCCCUUGCCGUCCUUCUUGAAGGUUUUCUUACCCUUGCCUUUCUUGAACUUAGUGGUUUUAUUCACCAUCAACACUUGAUGCUCCUUUUUGACUUCUACCUCUGCUGAUUUCAGCAUAGCAAAUACUUCAAGAAUGGUCUUUUCCAUCCCCUGCAUAUUGAAGUUCAUCACAAAGCUCUUGUAGCUCGGUGGAAGCGACUGAAGGAUUCUGUCAAUGACCGCGUCAUCCGGGAGAUUAACUCCCAGCUGAGUCAAGUGGUUAUGCAACCCAGACAUAGUGAGUAUGUGCUCACUGACAGAACUAUUUUCCUCCAUCUUACAGCUGAAGAACUUGUCGGAGACCUCAUAUCUCUCGACCCGGGCAUGAGCUUGGAAAACCAUUUUCAGCUCUUCGAACAUCUCAUAUGCUCCAUGUCUCUCAAAACGCUUUUGGAGCCCCGGCUCUAAGCUGUAAAGCAUGCCGCACUGAACGAGGGAGUAGUCAUCAGCACGUGUCUGCCAAGCGUUCAUAACGUCUUGGUUCUGUGGGACGGGUGGGUCACCUAGCGGUGCUAGUAGGACAUAAUAUUUCUUGGUAGCUAUGAGGAUGAUCCUCAGGUUCCGGACCCAGUCCGUAUAGUUGCUGCCAUCGUCCUUCAGCUUAGUUUUCUCUAGGAACGCGUUGAAGUUGAGGACAACGUUGGCCAUUUGAUCUACAAGACAUAUUGCAAAGAUUUUAGACUAAGUUCAUGAUAAUUAAGUUCAUCUAAUCAAAUUAUUCAAUGAACUCCCACUUAGAUAGACAUCCCUCUUCUAGUCAUCUAAGUAUAACAUGAUCCGAGUCAACUAGGCCGUGUCCGAUCAUCACGUGAGACGGACUAAUCAACGUCGGUGAACAUCUUCAUGUUGAUCGUAUCUUCUAUAUGACUCAUGCUCGACCUUUCGGUCUUCUGUGUUCCGAGGCCAUGUCUGUACAUGUUAGGCUCGUCAAGUCAACCUAAGUGUUUGCAUGUGUAAAUCUGUCUUACACCCGGUGUAUGUGAACGUUAGAAUCUAUCACACCCGAUCAUCACGUGGUGCUUCGAAAAAACGAACUGUCGCAAUGGUGCACAGUUAGGGGGAACACUUUCUUGAAAUUAUUGAGGGAUCAUCUUAUUUACUACCGUCGUUCUAAGUAAACAAGAUGCAAAACAUGAUAAACAUCACAUGCAAUCAAAUAAUAAUAGUGACAUCAUAUGGCCAAUAUCACAUAGCUCCUUUGAUCUCCAUCUUGGGGCUCCAUGAUCAUCUUGUCACCGGCUUGACACCAUGAUCUCCAUCAUCAUGAUCUCCAUCGUGUCUCCAUGAAGUUGCUCGCCAACUAUUACUUCUACUACUAUGGCUAACGCGUUUAGCAAUAAAGUAAAGUAAUUUACAUGGCGUUUCUCAAUGACACGCAGGUCAUACAAAAAAUAAAGACAACUCCUAUGGCUCCUGCCGGUUGUCAUACUCAUCGACAUGCAAGUCGUGAUUCCUAUUACAAUAGCAUGAACAUCUCAUACAUCACAUAUAUAUCAUUCAUCAUUCAUCACAACUUUGGCCAUAUCAUAUCACAAAGCACUUUCUGCAAAAACAAGUUAGACGUCCUCUAAUUGUUGUUGCAAGUUUUACGUGGCUGAAAUAGGGUUCUAGCAAGAACAUUUUCUUACCUACGUGAAAGACACAACGUGAUUUGUCAACUUCUAUUUACCCUUCAUAAGGACCCUUUUCAUCGAAUCCGCUCCAACUAAAGUGGGAGAGACAGACACCCGCCAGCCACCUUAUGCAACUAGUGCAUGUUAGUCAGUGGAACCGGUCUCACGUAAGCGUACGUGUAAGGUUGGUUCGGGCCGCUUCAUCCCACAAUACCGCUGAAGCAAGAUAAGACUAGUAGCGGCAAGAAAGUUGACAACAUCUACGCCCACAACAAAUUGUGUUCUACUCGCGCAAGAAGAACUAUGCAUAGACCUAGCUCAUGAUGCCACUGUUGGGGAACGUUGCAGAAAACAAAAAUUUUCCUACGGUUUCACCAAGAUCCAUCUAUGAGUUCAUCUAGCAACGAGUGAUCGGAUGCAUCUACAUACCUUUGUAGAUCGCGAGCGGAAGCAUUCAAAGAACGGGGAUGAGGUAGUCGUACACGACGUGAUCCAAAUCACUAGAGAUCCUAGCACCGAACGAACGGCACCUCCGCGUUCAACACACGUACGGUCAGCGUGACGUCUCCUCCUUCUUGAUCCAGUAAGGGGAAGGAGAGGUUGAAGAUGAUCCAGCAGCACGACGGCGUGGUGGUGGAUGUAGGGCGUCACAGCAGUAGGGCUUCGCCGUAUACUACGAGAGGAAGAGGUGUAGCAGGGGAGAGGGAGGCGCCAAGACUCAAGUUACGGCUGCCCCCUUCCCCCCUCAUAUAUAUAGGCUCCCCUAGGGGGGCGCCGGCCCUAGGAGAUGAGAUCUCCUAGGGGGGAGGCGGCCAGGGCUGGAGUGCCCCCCAAGGCAAGGUGGGGCGCCCCCCACCCCUAGGGUUUCAACCCUAGGCGCAUGGGGUGGGCCUAGGGGGCGCACCAGCCCAAUAUGGGCUGGUUCCCCUCCCCACGUUGGCCCAUGGGGCCCUCCGGGAUGGGUGGCCCCACCCGAUGGACCCCCGGGACCCUUCCGGUGGUCCCGGUACAAUACCUGUGACCCCGAAACUUGUCCCAAUGGCCGAAACAGCACUUCCUAUAUAUAAUUCUUUACCUCCGGACUAUUCCGAAACUCCUCGUGAUGUCCAGGAUCUCAUCCGGUACUCCGAACAACAUUUGGGUUACUGCAUAUACAUAUCUUCACAACCCUAGCGUCACCGAACCUUAAGUGUGUAGACCCUACGGGUUCGGGAGACAUGUAGACAUGACCGAGACGACUCUCCGGUCAAUAACCAACAGCGGGAUCUGGAUACCCAUGUUGGCUCCCACAUGCUCCUCGAUGAUCUCAUCGGAUGAACCACGACGUCAAGGAUUCAAGCAACCCCAUAUACAAUUCCCUUUGUCAAUCGGUAUGUUACUUGCCCGAGAUUCGAUCGUCGGUAUCCCAAUACCUUGUUCAGUCUCGUUACCGGCAAGUCACUUUACUCGUACCGUAAUGCAUGAUCCCGUGACCAGACACUUGGUCACUUUGAGCUCAUAAUGAUGAUGCAUUACCGAGUGGGCCCAGUGAUACCUCUCCGUCAUACGGAGUGACAAAUCCCAGUCUUGAUCCGUGUCAACCCUACAGACACUUUCGGAGAUACCCGUAGUAUACCUUUAUGGUCACCCAGUUACGUUGUGACGUUUGGUACACCCAAAGCACUCCUACGGUAUCCGGGAGUUACACGAUCUCAUGGUCUAAGGAAAGGAUACUUGACAUUGGAAAAACUCUAGCAAACGAACUAUACGAUCUUUAUGCUAUGUUUAGGAUUGGGUCUUGUCCAUCACAUCAUUCUCCUAAUGAUGUGAUCUCGUUAUCAAUGACAUCCAAUGUCCAUAGUCAGGAAACCAUGACUAUCUGUUGAUCAACGAGCUAGUCAACUAGAGGCUUACUAGGGACAUGUUGGUGUCUAUUAUUCACACAUGUAUUACGAUUUCCGGAUAACACAAUUAUAGCAUGAAUAAAGACAAUUAUGGAAAUAUAAUAAUAAUGCUUUUAUUAUUGCCUCUAGGGCAUAUUUCCAACACUUAAGCCAUAUUUAUCGCAAUAAGUUCUCUUUUGAGACUAUCGAUGUAAUAAGUGUGUGAUUGCUACUCUGUUAUAAAUCCUUCGAAGUACUGUGUGUGUCAGUGUUACCGAUCCAGGGAUGACACUUAUGCACAGAGAUUCGACCGUUUGAGGUUGGAUCGCUACAUGAACGAGUAAAGAGACUUGCCGGUAACGAGAUUGAACUAGGUAUGAUGAUACCGACUAUCGAAUCUCAGGCAAGUAACAUACCGAUAACAAAGGAAAUGACAUAUGUUGUUAUGCUGUUUGAACGAUAAAGAUCUUUGAUACGUCCAUUUUGCAUCAUGCUUUUAUAUCGAUAUUUAUUGCAUUAUGGGUUGUUAUUACACAUUGUGUCACAAUACUUAUGCCUAUUCUCUCUUAUUUUACAAGGUUUACAUAAAGAGGGAGAAUGCCGGCAACUGGGAUUCUGGGCUGGAAAAGGAGCAAAUAUUAGAGACCUAUUCUGCACAGCUCCAAAAGUCCUGAAACUUCACGAAAGACGUUUUCAGAAUAUAUAAAAAAUACUGAGCGCAAGAAGUUCACCAGGGGGCACACCCUGCCCACAAGGGUGGGGGGCGUGCCCUACCCCCUGUGCGCGCCCCCUACCUUGUGGGCCCCGUGGUGACCCUCCGGUGGCCAUCUUCUGCUAUAUGGAGUCUUUCAAUGUGGAAAAAAUCAUAAGCCAUCUUCCCUGACGAGACUCCGCCGCCACGAGGCGGAACCUUGGCGGAACCAAUCUAGGGCUCUCGCGGAGCUGUUCUGCCCGGGAAACUUCCCUCCGGGAGGGGGAAAUCAUCGCCAUCGUCAUAACCAACGAUCCUCUCAUCAGGAGAGGGCAAUCUCCAUCAACAUCUUCACCAGCACCAUCUCCUCUCAAAACCCUAGUUCAUCUCUUGUAUCCAAUUCUUGUCUCCAAGUCCGGGAUUGGUACCCGUGGGUUGCUAGUAGUGUUAAUUACUCCUUGUAGUUGAUGCUAGUUGGUUUAUUUGGUGGAAGAUCAUAUGUUCAGAUCCUAUAUGCAUAUUAAUACCCCUCUGAUUAUGAACAUGAAUAUGCUUUGUGAGAAGUUACGUUUGUUCCUGAGGACAUGGGAUAAGUCUUGCUGUUAGUAGUCAUGUGAAUUUGGUAUUCGUUCGAUAUUUUGAUGAGAUGUAUGUUGUCUCUCCUCUAGUGGUGUUAUGUGAACGUCGACUACAUGACACUUCACCAUUAUUUGGGCCUAGAGGAAGGCAUUGGGAAGUAAUAAGUAGAUGAUGGGUUGCUAGAGUGACAGAAGCUUAAACCCUAGUUUAUGCGUUGCUUCGUAAGGGGCUGAUUUGGAUCCACAUGUUUCAUGCUAUGGUUAGGUUUACCUUAAUACUUUUGUUGUAGUUGAGGAUGCUUGCAAUAGAGGUUAAUCAUAAGUGGGAUGCUUGUCCAAGUAAGGACAGUACCCAAGCACCGGUCCACCCACAUAUCAAAUUAUCAAAGUACCGAACGCGAAUCAUAUGAACGUGAUGAAAACUAUCUUGGCGAUAUUCCCAUGUAUCCUCGGGAGCGCUUUACAUCAUAUAACAGUUUGUCCAGGCUUGUCCUUUGCUACAAAAAGGAUUGGGCCACCUUGCUGCAGUUUAUUUACUUUUGUUACUUGUUACUCGUUAUAAAUUAUCCUAUCACAAAACUAUCUGUUACCUAUUAUUUCAAUGCUUGCAGAGAAUACCUUGCUGAAAACCGCUUAUAAUUUCCUUCUGCUCCUCGUUGGGUUUGACACUCUUACUUAUCAAAAGGACUACGAUAGAUCCCCUGUACUUGUGGGUCAUCAAUAUUCCUAGAAUAUGUAGGAGCCAAUAUGAGCAUCUAGGUUCCGCUACUGGUUAUUGACUGAAGAUGUGUCUCGGUCAUGUCUACAUAGUUCUCGAACACGUAGGGUCCGCACACUUAACGUUCGAUGACGAUUUGCAUUAUGAGUUAUGUGAUUUGAUGACUGAAGUUUGUUCGGAGUCCUAGAUGAGAUCACCGACAUGACGAGGAGUCUCGAAAUGGUCGGGAGGUAAAGAUUCAUAUAUUGGAAGGUUGCAUUUGGACAUCGGAAUGGUUCCGAGUGGUUCGGGUAUUUUUUUUGGAGUACCGGGAGGUUAUCGGACCCCUCCCCCCCGGGAGAAGUACUGGGCCUAUUGGGACUUAUAGGAGGAGAGGAGAAAGGCCACACGAGAGGGGUGCGCCCCCCUUGCCCAAACCGAAUUGGACUAGGGGAGGGGCCCGCCCCCCUCUUUCCUUCUCCAUCUCUUUCGCUUCCCCUUUUCCCUCUCCGGUGGAAGGAAGGAGGGGGCCGAAUCCUACUUGGACUAGGAGUCCAAGUAGGACUCCCCCCUUAUGGCGCGACCCCUUAGGCCGGCCACCUCCUCCUACCCCCUUUAUAUACGGAGGCGGGGGCACCCCAAAGGCACAACAGACAUCUCUUAGCCGUGUGCGGUGCCCCCUCCACAGUUUACCACCUCGGUCAUAUCGUCAUAGUGCUUAGGUGAAGCCCUGCGCCGGUAACUUCAUCGUCACCGUCACCACGCUAUUGUGCUAACGGAACUCUCCCUCGUCCUCAACUGGAUCAAGAGCUCGAGGGACGUCAUCGUGCUGAACGUGUGCAGAACACAGAGGUGCCGUACGUUCGGUACUUGGAUCGGUUGGAUUGUGAAGACGUUCGACUACAUCAACCGCGUUACUAAACGCUUUCGCUUUCGGUCUACGAGGGUACAUGGAGACACUCUCUCGUCUCGUUGCUAUGCAUCUCCUAGAUAGAUCUUGCGUGAUCGUAGGAAUUUUUUUGAAAUACUGCGUUCCCCAAUAGAGACCCCACCAACUAAUGAAGGCAACACCCUCCCCUGGUUGGCCGCAUGCCAAUCGGGUCCACCUGACGCAUGCAAAUGCUGACAGCCAGACCCAUCUCAACCAUCGAGUGUGAAGUAGCGCGUGAGAGAGUGCACACAAGCGCGAUCGGAAACACCACAGAAGGAUGGCACUGGCCGCACCCGUGGGCCACGUGUUAUGGACCUCGAGGAAAUUUGUCCAGGUGUGAGGUGGCCUUUGAGAUCUAAACGCACCAAGCAGCCAAUCGUUCGAGGCCCGUGCGCAACAAACGGCGUGGUCGGCACUCUCGCGUCGCGAGGCCCCUAGGAGGCGGGUACUUCAACAUCAUUUAUAGGACUAAUGUAUAUGCUGGUAACCUCACCAUUAGAAUAAUUGGUUAACACACUGCACUUUAGGCAACACAUAACCAAACAACGACACAUUGCAUAUGAGGAGCACAUACCCGCAACCAAAUGUCGUGCUUGCGUUUGUGCUGCCAUGUAGUGUGGGGAUUUGUGGGCAAUCAAACAAAGUGUAGAACCUGGUUUAGAGCAUGUAUGUAGGAGGUCUGAAAUUGAUGCAGGGAGCAAAACCAAUUACACCCAACAUUGUUUUUAGGGACAUUUACAUUUGUGCCCCUAACUCGAACCCACUACACUGAUUUACCCCUAAUUUCGAAGCAUUCUCAAUUUUGCCCCUGUGCGGUUAUGUGCCCUUACAAAAAUGCCCCUCCAUGCCGUAUCCACUCAGUCAAAGUCCUUUAACCGUCAUUGGGGCGUUUCCUGGACAUAUUUGCCCAUCUAUUCACUUGUCACUUACAUGUGGUUCCUACCCUAGGAAAAAGAGAAACAAAUCUGUCUUAUUCACUCUCCCUCACUAAUAAUAUAAAAAACUCUCCCUCUCUCAUAACCUCUAUCUCUCCUUGACAUGUGUGCGAAGGACCCACUUGCAGUGUCCACACCAGUCCACGGGCUCCAAAGCAAGGCGAGGCUCAGCAGGUGGCCGUCACCAAUGAGGGGCGGCACGCCUGCAUGUGAAGACCAAGGGGACGGGCUCGGGGUGGUUUGUCGAAGGAUUUGCAGGUGGUGGUCGAGGCGGAUGGCGGCGAACUGCGACGCUAUGCACGGGGAGCGCCUGAGACAUUCCGCGGAGGACGCCGAUGCUAGCUGUCUCGGUUGAAGGCUAGAUCGAGGCCAAAGAGCAUGGCCAUGUGCCCCUCUCGCCGCCUCUCCUCUGCCCUGCGCGGUGAAUUGGGCCUAGGGCCGCCUGUAGACGACGGACGGGACUCUGAUCUCCGCCAUGGAUGUGCUUUUGAGCUCCUAAAUGCGUCCACCCCGAGCCACCGUUGACCUCCUCGACCUUAGUGUCCUCGUCGCUAAAAUCUAGUGGACCUACCCCCUCUUCCACUACUCGACCCCGUUCUCGGAGCGCCCUGCCCGAAGCCGGCCGCCAUGACUGACCUCGUCUGGCUCGGUCAUGUGCGCGCGCCCACCUACCUACGAGUGUCGUGCCCGUGAAGAUGAAUUGGUGUGCAAGGAGUGCCUCACACAGCUAUACUGCCCGCCUCGUGCUCUCCUCCCGCGACCGUCUAUAGCCACGUACGGCGAGCCGUCGGCGAGCGCAGCCGGUCGGGCAUGCGUUUGGGGACGUGUGGACCGGUGUUGACCCUGGCAGUGGAUCCCAUGGUCCACAUGUUAGAGAGAGAGUGUGUUUUAUUGUUAUUUUUUAUGUUUGUUGGUGUCCAUCUGUAAGUUAGAGAGAGGGGAUGAGAUAGUGAGUUUUUUAACUUUGGGCAGGUCCACGUGUAAGUUAUAUAUGCAUAGAAGGGCGAAUAUAUCUAGAAAACGUCUUAUUGAUGGUCAAAGGCCUUUGAUCAGACGGAAAUGACACAUAAGGACAUUUUUAUAAAGGCACCUAACAGGAAAGGGGCACAUUUGAACACGCUUCAAAAUUAGGGGUAAAUCUGAAUAAUGGGUUCGAGUUAGGGGCUGAAAUAUAAAUGACCCUUUUUUUAUAAGAGCAGAGAUAAAUGGUGUUUCCUAUUUGACUAACAUGCCUCAAAUAGUCCCGUAUUGGCACAUGAGCGACCGAGUUGGGCCGACCAAUUUAACGCUAGAUAAAUUGAUGUUGGUUCCGAUUUUGGAAACCUUCUACAAGGUCCCUGGAUCGGUGUGUGUCCCUUUUUUGUUUUUUAUGUUUCGAAAAAAGUUACCUUAAAAAAUGUUUGGAAUUUUUAUAAAAUGAUUUUAGAUUAAGAAAAAAACAGGUUUUUUGGUGUGUUUUCAAAUAUUGUUUGGAAUUUACGAAAUCCGCAUUUUUAGAAUUUGUUCACAGUAAAAAAAGCAUUCUCAAAAUUUGUUUUUUAAAAUGAUUCCGUUUUUUAGAAAAUCGUAACUUCAUUUUUCAGAAAUUUGAAAAUUUGUUCGCAUUUUCAGUAAAUAUUUUCUUUUACAAUAAAAUAUAUUCGUAUUUCUAGAAAAGUUAGAUUUGUUUCAAAAAGGUUGCUACAGUUGACCUUUUUUAGAGAAUGCAACAAUGAGCUUUUUGUUUUUGAGAAUGAUGCAACAAUGAGUUUUUUUUUGAGAGAGAAUGAUGCAACAAUGAGCUGAUUGCUACAGUACCGAGCGCUACAGAGUCGGGCCGGCCCAGUCGUUGCCUCCUCUGUGCGCCUGAGUCCCCGAGAUAAAAUAUCGACUCGUUCAGUGUGUGCCAGCGAGCCCAUCCUUAGAUUCAUCUCUCCUUUCCACUCCCAUUCCUCCUCCGGCCGCCACCUCCGCAUCGACCUCCUCGGUUGCCAUGGGCAUGGAUGACCACGAAUUCCGGCUGCUCACGAUCCCUCCGCCCAUCCACCCCGAGGAUCCGGACUCUCCUCUUCCGGAGACCAUCCUCAUCGACUCGUUCGGCUACCUCAGCGACCGCACCAACGCCACCACUGCCAAUGGCCGCAGGAGCAGGACCAAGAAGAAGGGCAAGCGCAUCCUGGUCACCUUCUGGCCGGCUGCCCCGCCGCGCGUCUCCUGCUUCACCGUCCACUGCCCAGAUCUGAAGCCCGACGCGUACGGCAGCAUCCCCAAGGUCUGCUACACGGAGGACAGCCUCCCCCUGCUCUGCAUCAUCAUCUGCCCCAAGCGCCAGUACAACUUCAAGUAAGAGGUAUCAGUGAAUAUUGGAAAUAAAAAAUAAUUCUACUUGAGCAUGAUAGUUUUCUACCUUAAGGUCACCAUUGUCCAUUUAACCACGGCCAUACUCGUUCUACAGAUUAUUCUAAUUCAUUUGUAUAUCUAUAUAUGUGUGAUCAAAACAACAACUUCAGAAAUCCUCAGAUCAAGUGAUCAGUUCGCACAAAAAUGGCAACUAACCUGCUGCCACUGGUUUCCUCUAUGGCUCUAUGUGUUUUGUUUCCUCACCGGGACUGCGAACCGAGGAAAGGAUUGGGCUGGCAGCGCCACCACCACUCGAUAGAAAAAGCUCCGCUGAACGAUCGGGAGUUUCUUUUUUAUUUUACCGAACAAUGGGCAGCUAUCGACCCCUACGGGAUGAUGGGAAAGUCCAAAGUAGUAUUGGUAAAAUGACUAGUUGCCCUUUAUCAUGGACAGCUUCAUUUGCUUGGUACUCUAGUCUCUAAUUAAGCACUAAAAUAGAACUGAGUUGCAUAAAUAAAUAAUGAUAUAAAAGGGAAGGGAUUGAGAACAUUACUUUUUGGGCAUUUCAAGAAAUUUUAACUCGAGCUGCUAGAUUAAAUUCCUGUUGCAUUCUGUCAACUUUAUUUUCAAACUUGUUACAAGUUCCAGCAUAUACUUCCGGGCAAUUUCUGUUAACUUCACCCUCAGCCUGUUUACAGUAUUUAUUAAUUAGUACUAUGAUAUUAAAAUCAAGGAAUCAUAAGGAAAAUAAGGUGGCUACUAAUUUGAAGGGAAAGUGAUGGCUACAAAUUUAAAGGGAAAAUUGGGAAAAAUUUCAGCACAUAUCAGCACACAAUCUUAUAGCUUGGUUUUCAUGCAAGUGAUUGUGAUUUGUCCCCUUUUGAAAAAAAGGUAAUUGUGAUUUCAUAAUUGGAGCAUACUUGUGCUAGUACUGGUAAAGUAACAGGAAAGGAAGCUUCGAAGGGGGAGGAUAUCUUCAGGAAAGAUCCAACUGCUGGUGCAAAAAAACUACAGGAUAGGAUACAAGAACAAUUACUCAAUGUGGAUCACAGUUAGCCAAGAAACAUCAAAAGCUUGAAAGAGUGGUGCCUCUGUACUAGCUGUAUGAUUAAAACAAGGAUACAUUGGUCCUAAAUAACUGCCUUGGAUGGAGAAUAUGACAUCGUGCUAAACAACUAAAUUGUGUAACCUUUGUAGUGUUAUUUAAGUGUACCAAGACAUUUUGGUGCUAGCUUUCUAAAGGCGACCUAUUUGGGUGCUAUAUAACCAAUUUUUCCAAGAUUGAAGAGAUAAUUUUGUCAAAAUUAUACCUUUCGCCGCCAUUGCAGACUCUCAUUGCAAGGUCCUUUGACCGACUCAAGAGAUGAGCAGUUCCCUUGAUACAGAACCUCUCACAAGCAUGCCCCACAAUUGAAAACGGUAAUAUGACAUCGUUUCUCCGGAUAGAGUAAACCUAUCAAAACGAAGUUGUCUGGAUUAGAACCCGUUGAGCAGAACAACAACAACAACAACAAAGCCUUUAGUCCCAAACAAGUUGGGAUUGGCUAGAGGUGAAACCCAUUGAGCAGCAUGAGACAAAAAACAUAGAAAAGCGAGAUAAACAUACUCAUCAAGAAACUCCCAAAACAUAGGUAGCAAUGUGGCAUUUUUCUUGUCCGCUCUCUGUUCUCUCCUUUUAUCCCGUCUGGGGUUCCUCUGCUCAUCCCAUGGGACCAAGUCAUCCAUGGGUGGAGGAAUCAAAUCACCGACAAGAUUGGGCAACAUUGGCAGAAGGUUGGCAAGUCCAGAUUCCUCACUCGUGACAUUGGCAGAAGAUUGGGCAUCAUGAUUUGAACACUGCAAACAGAACAUUGACAUUUAAAUAAACAUGCCAACAAACACAGAAUAACUUAUAAAGUCUUAGUUCCCCACCCUUUCAUAAAAGAGAAUGUAGGCCUCGCAAUCAAGAACUUGCUGCAAGCUGGCUUUUGUUAUCAUCUCAUCGCUUGCAUAAAACCAAGACUUGUCAUUGCUUUGAUGUUCCUGACCAUUCAUCUUGCUAGCUCUUACAUACACAAUAUAAUGACCUCCUUCCCGAUCUCCAAUGUGUUGAGCAACACCAACUAGACGGUAGGUGUUAUUGUCAUUCUCGUCAACCCUGAAAAUUACAGAAAAUAGUGAUGACCAGAGCAGUCGUAGAGCUGUACAGUACUGUCGCUCGCUCAUAAAUCACAAAUACGGAGAUGCCAAAUUCAAAAAUAUUCAGACCCAGUUCAGUCUGAAUAAUUGUCUGAAACUACAUAAGGAUGAUUAAUAGCUAGGUAGUGGUUGGAGAUCUUCUUUGGUUAGGAAGGGAGCUGAGAGUGUAUAGUUAGUUAAUAAAAGGUUCAUUUUCAAAGCUAGGAAGAGUAAGUAUGCAUGCCUUUGUUUGUCGCUAACGAGGGACAAAAGAAUAGUAAGUCAGCAAUUAUAGUUCAUUUUCAUGUCAUGGGUCCUAGCUAAUCUAGGUGCUCCAGCUUUUUCAUUCAUGGACCUAAUUAAGCUGAGCUAACUUCAGUUAUACUAGUUUCUGUUUUGUUUAAUUUGGACGGACGGUUGGUUUUCUUAUUGAUCAAUUAUUUCUAAAUUUGAGUUGUAUUUAUUAAUUAGUUACUGCUUCAUGCUUGAAGAUAGCUGAAGUAGUUACUAACACUGCGCUACUACUCUGGUUGAUGCAUGGAUCUAUAUUCAGUCAGUCAAGGAAUGUUUUUUCCUACAAUAGUCGGUCAAACAAGUUUUCAGAUUCAGGUAAAAUGAUUUCUUAUCCAUUCGAACAAGACUAUCAAAAAUGAUUUCAUAUUCAGUCAGUCAAAGAAACAAUACCUACCUUUCGCCCAUGUAUGGCUGCAUAUUAAGAAUCUCCUUGAAACACACAUGUCCUUCCAAUUUAUCAUAUCCAGCAGGAUUAGGAGCCUUUUUUUCCUGAUCAAACUAAUCACCAUUACAUCUGGAGCUUUGGUUAUAAUCAUUCUUUUCCUUGCAGCUCUGAAAAUUUUUGUUGUUUCCUGUUUCUGUUUCUGGUCAUUUUGGUUAUCGUCACCACCUGACUCCACAACAUGUUUUGUGUUAGCUGCAUCAGUGCAAGACUCACAGACCCAAUCAUACAUCAACUCUUCCUUGGUGUAUAAGGAGAAGCAAUCCUCAACUGAUACAGGAUCAUCGCCAUCAUGUGCCUCAGCAUCAGCUUUAUUGCUCCUCGAAGCUACAGCAGGGAGCUUCCUAUCUAGAAUUGGCAGUCGGAAUAUAAGGGUCUCUUCAUGUUUCUCCUUGGAACUAUGUACACAUUCUGUGCUGGUUCGAACACUACACUCCUCGCCUGCAAAGAUGGAAUUGACAAUUGUGACCUUCUUUGAAGCAUCCAUUGAAGGUUGACGUGCUUCAUCUUCCUCUUCAUCCAAACCAUGAAGAAAACAUUGGAUGAGUUCUUCGGCAUCCUCCAUUCCGCCGGUAAUAAAUUGGGGCCACUUUGAGCAGACAGAUGCAAGCAGUUUUGUUGGAUCAAGGCAGCCUUUUGCAUUGCUUGAAGGACUUGUGUUGACAAAGAGCUCUUUGAAAAGCGAGCAAUUGGCCCUUUGCAAACGUUUUGUCCCAUCAUUAUGCUGCGCAGUGGGUCAAGGGCCAAUAAGCACUGCAGCAUGGCAUUGAAAAAACAGGUGUUGCCGGGAUUCCGCAGCCCCCUGAUGACAUUAUAUUUGGCAACGUCCUCCUUGGCUAUGUCCUCCGAGUGAGGAGAUGAUGGACUGCUGGAUCCCUUGUCCUCCUUCUCCACCGGUUUCAUCUGCGGUGUCACCACCUCCUUCUUGCCCAAACCAUCAUCAUCCUCCGAGCGAGGAGAUGACGAACUGCUGGAUCCCUUGCCCUCCGCCUCCACCGGUUUCAUCUGCGGUGUCACCACCUCCUUCUUGUCCAAACCUUCAUCAUCCUUCGGAUCAAGUGGGUUGGUGUUUGCCUCUAACUCAGUUGAAGCUUCUGCUGAUUGUGAUGGACGAUACUUAAAAACCUUGAGUGGAACCUUCUGGUUACACUCACAACAGUACAGUAUAUCUUUAUCAUAGGUGUUGGCAAACCACCGAUGCUCAGGUUGCUCCUUGUGAUGGGAAAAAAAUCCGGUACGACCGGGUCGCACGAGGCUAAAUGGGAGACCACCUCGCGCGCAUGACAUCUGGCAGCACGAAUCUCAGCGCACAGUCACCUUAUCCCGAACCGAAGACCAGGUCGAGCGUGCAUCAAAUCCCUAGCCCAACUCCUCCGACGCCCCCAAUUCCAGCCGCCGGUGUGAUUGGCUCCGGCUGCUCGCCACAUUGCCGCCAGUGUGCUCCUCGACGCUGGACCCAACUCCCCUGCUCGACGUCCUCCAUUCCCGCGGGCACGGCCGCGUUCGUUGGCGGCCCAGGUCGCGGCACCGUCGUAGCUGCUCGUCGUCCUGCUCCUCGAUGUCGUCCUGCUCGUGGCUCUCCAUCCCCGCCGGCACCCACCAUGUUUUCCGGCGGCCAAGCUCGCGGCGCCACACCAUCUACCCUUGUCAUGCCGCUGCCCAUGGCAAUGCUCCUCGGCCACAUUCGCAGCGCUGCCGGCUUAUUGUACAGGCUUCAUACGCCCCUUGGCUCCGGCCAACCGUUUCGACGCUGCUGUGUCACCCUGGUCGCUUCUCGGCAAACAACAUCAACUAACAAGUUCCUGUAGAUUUUUGUGUGUGAUUUGAGCUGUAAAAGCCUGAACAAAGGCAACUAUUCUGUAUUUUCCUUUCUGAAUUUUAUUCUCUUACAAGACUGGCCUAUGUUGUAAACGAAUUUCUGUGUGAAUGAAAGCUUGUGGAAUUUGCAAUGUAUAGUUGUUCUUGUCCACUUUUCAUAUAAUGUGUUGCGACAUUUUCAGUGUAUUUGUGCUGUUGAACAUACUGAUCACUUGUUUCCUUCCAAUAACUGGAAAGGGACCAAGUAUAUGCACCCUUGUGUGUGUUGUACAACUGAUCAGUUCACAGAGACAAAAGAAACUUUGUAGAAACCAUUGUCAGGUGAAACACUAGCAUAUAACAACAGAAGAAAAUGAUAGCUUCAGUUUGUGUUGCAGCAAGUAAAUAGAACCAUUUGGCAUGAAUAAAACAAGAUUUGCAAUGCAUUUGCCCUGAUAAUCUGAUACGGUGUCAACUGUUGGCAUGAACAAACAUUCAUGGUUUGCUACAGAGGAAAAUGAUAGCUUCAGUUUUAUAUUGCAGUAAGUAAAUAGCACCAUUUGCCAGGUGAAAUACACACAUAGCAGCAGAAGAAAAUGAUAGCUUCAGGUGAAACACUAGCACAUAGCAGUAGAAGAAAAUGAUAGCUUCAGUUUAAUAGAAGAAAAUGAUAGAAUAUAUGUUUUUUGUCUCAUGCUGCUCAAUGGGUUUCACCUCUAGCCUAUCCCAACUUGUUUGGGACUAAAGGCUUUGUUGUUGUUGUUGUUGUUCUGCUCAACGGGUUCUAAUCCAGACAACUUCGUUUUGAUAGGUUUACUCUAUCCGGAGAAAUGAUGUCAUAUUACCGUUUUCAAUUGUGGGGCAUGCUUGUGAGAGGUUCUGUAUCAAGGGAACUGCACAUCCUCUACUCUCAUCUCUUGAGUCGGUCAAAGGACCUUGCAAUGGGAGUCUGCAAUGGCGGCGAAAGGUAUAAUUUUGACAAAAUUAUCUCUUCAAUCUUGGAAAAAUUGGUUAUGUAGCACCCAAAUAGGUCGCCUUUAGAAAGCUAGCACCAAAAUGUCUUGGUACACUUAAAUAACACUACAAAGGUUACACAUUUUAGUUGUUUAGCAUGGUGUCAUAUUCUCCAUCCAAGGCAGUUAUUUAGGACCAAUGUAUCCUUGUUUUAAUCAUACAGCUAGUAUAGAGGCACCACUCUUUCAAGCUUUGGAUGUUUCUUGGCUAACUGUGAUCCACAUUGAGUAAUUGUUCUUGUAUCCUAUCCUGUAGUUUUUUUGCACCAACAGUUGGAUCUUUCCUGAAGAUAUCCUCCCCCUUCGAAGCUUCCUUUCCUGUUACUUUACCAGUACUAGCACAAGUAUGCUCCAAUUAUGAAAUCACAAUUACCUUUUUUUCAAAAGGGGACAAAUCACAAUCACUUGCAUGAAAACCAAGCUAUAAGAUUGUGUGCUGAUAUGUGCUGAAAAUUUUCCCAAUUUUCCCUUUAAAUUUGUAGCCAUCACUUUCCCUUCAAAUUAGUAGCCACCUUAUUUUCCUUAUGAUUCCUUGAUUUUAAUAUCAUAGUACUAAUUAAUAAAUACUGUAAACAGGCUGAGGGUGAAGUUAACAGAAAUUGCCCGGAAGUAUAUGCUGGAACUUGUAACAAGUUUGAAAAUAAAGUUGACAGAAUGCAACAGGAAUUUAAUCCAGCAGCUCGAGUUAAAAUUUCUUGAAAUGCCCAAAAAGUAAUGUUCUCAAUCCCUUCCCUUUUAUAUCAUUAUUUAUUUAUGCAACUCAGUUCUAUUUUAGUGCUUAAUUAGAGACUACUGUAUAUAUGUUUUCAGGCAUGAAGAGCUAGAGGAUUGUUUUGGCGCUGCUUAGUGUGCAUGGUCAUGUUGAGGAGAAAAUCAUGACACCUUUGCCUGAUAAAUGCGCCUUGGUUCAGGCACUUGUCGAACAUGUGAUUAGCAACCAUAAAGCUGGGUACUCGUGGGAAGGUGAUUUUGGCUUAAAUGAUAUGGAUGCCUACGAUGGCAAGGUGGUCAUCACAAAAAGUCCGAAGUUAUUUGAUAUACAGCCUAAAAUAUCGCCCGAGAUGGUCACUGCAAUGGAGAAGGAUUUUAAAAGUAUUGCAACAGAAGUGGUGCAAAAAUUCAUGCAAUCUCAGAUUUACGUUCCUUAUUUGUCACCUUUUCAUGCUUUCUUGAGUAGCAUGGGACUAUAUGCUACCUGGUGGUCGGACCGACUCAAGACAAAGAAUUUGCGAGAAUUGAUACUCCAUUAUCCCUUUCUCAAGCCUUCAAGGGCUCGUUUGAAUUUGCUGGUAGGCAUCUUUGAUGCAUGGAGAUCGUUCGAUAAGAAUGAUACAAGUCCUUUACUUAAGAAGAUCAUCAGCUCUGUCGAAGGAUCUUUCUGGUUAUGGAAGAUGAAUGCGGUUGAAAAUCAAAUCAUUAUUGAUGUUUUCCGGUACAAAGGUGCUGCAUAUUAUGAAGACGGGCUACAGUACGUGAUUGAAUUAUUGAGGCAUCUUGCAGUACAUGGCACUGAGAAAUCCUUUGACUGCCAUGUUGAUGGCCCCCGCAAGCAACUGGUACAAAAUCUCGAUGAACUGGAGGUCGGAGGUGCUUAUUAUCUCGAAGAGUUUGUGAUGCUUGCCUUAUCUCGAGUGUUCAUCAGAACGUUCGAAGGAACUUGCAAGCGACCAGCUGGAUUGACAGAGUUGCAAGUCUGCGUGCAGAAGGCUAAUGAGACUCUCAGAGAGUAUAUUCAGAGGUGGAUCACUUUGCACCACACUGUGGAGAAUGUGUCUGAUCAUCAGGCAGUCUGCGCCUUCAAAGAUGGCGUCAAGAACAGAGAACUGAGUUUGAAGUUUGGUCGAACCGGUGACAUGACCUUGAGUCGGAUGAUGGAGAUUGCUACCAAGUACGCCAACGGCGAAGAAGAAGACCGACUCCGAAGCGGCAAGCACAAGCCGAGUCAGUCGGAAAAAGGAAACACCAGUCGGAAACAGAAGCGGAAGGCUGAACCGGCAGCUCCUGGAGAGGCUCUGGCCGUGACUCAAGGAAAGUUUAAGGGGAAACCAAAAGGAUCCUGGAACCCCAAGAAGGUAAAGGAUAAAGAAGGGAACAACGUAAUGGAUAUGCCAUGUCACAUCCAUACGAAGAAAGACGAAGAGGGGAAUAUCAUCUUCCCGAAGCACACCACUCGCCAAUGUCGACUCCUGAUCCAGCAGUUUCAGGGAAAACAGUCUAAGGACAAGGAGAAGGAGUCAGACAAGGCCGAAGACAAGGAGGACAGUGAGGAAGGAUAUCCACAUAUCAACUCCACUCUGAUGAUCUUUGCAGAUGUGGAAAGCAGGAGUCGACUGAAAGUCAUUAACCGAGAGGUGAACAUGGUUGCCCCAGCAAAAGCAAAUUAUCUGAAAUGGUCUCAAACACCCAUCACAUUCGACCAAUCUGAUCACCCGACUCAUAUUGCCACCCCUGGGAGGCAAGCUUUGGUGGUCGAUCCAGUUGUCGAAGGCACUCGACUGACAAAGGUGCUGAUGGAUGGUGGAAGCGGGCUGAAUUUGUUGUAUGCAGACACACUGAAAGGAAUGGGCAUUCCGAUGUCCCGACUGAGCACUAGUAACAUGCGUUUUCAUGGAGUUAUACCAGGGAAGAAGGCCGAGUCACUCGGCCAAAUAGCUUUGGAUGUGGUGUUUGGUGAUUCGAAGCAUUUUCGCAAAGAAAAGUUGACGUUUGAGGUCGUGGAUUUUCAGAGUGCAUAUCAUGCCAUUUUGGGGAGACCAGCUUACGCACGGUUCAUGGCUCGACCAUGCUACGUGUACCUCAAAUUGAAGAUGCCCGGCCCCAAAGGAGUGAUCACUGUCACCGGUGAUCGGAAAAAGGCAGAAGAGUGCUUUCAGAAGAGCUCCAAGAUUGCCGAUUCCCAGGUGACAGCGGUCGAGUUCGAAGAAUACAAGCAAAACGCAGAUCCGAGUACUUGCUGCGAUCAAAGAAACCCGCCACAGAGUCUGCAUUCCAGUCGUCCGGUGAGACGAAGCCUGUUCACAUUCACCCGACCGACCCCGAUGCAGCUCCGACCCGCAUCUCCACAACACUCGACCCAAAAUAGGAAGAAGCGCUCAUCCAGUUCCUCCGUGAGAACUGGGACAUUUUUGCAUGGAAGCCCGCUGACAUGCCAGGUGUUCCCAGGGGACUGGCUGAGCAUCGCCUAAGAGUCGACUCAUCUGCAAAACCAGUCAAAGAGCAUCUUCGGCGGUCCGCCGUCCAGAAGAGAAAGGCCAUUGGUGAAGAAGUGGCUCGACUGUUGGCGGCAGGAUUUAUCCGAGAGAUAUACCACUCCGAGUGGCUCGCUAAUGUCGUCAUGGUUCCUAAGAAGGACAAGUCGCUCCGAAUGUGCAUUGAUUUCAAGCACAUCAACCGGGCCUGCCCGAAAGAUCAUUUUCCUCUCCCUCGCAUAGAUCAAAUUGUUGACUCGACCGCGGGAUGCGAGAGGCUAUCUUUUUUAGAUGCCUACUCCGGGUACCACCAGAUCCGUCUGUACGGACCCGACGAGGUAAAAACAGCUUUCAUCACUCCAUUCGGGUGCUUCUGCUAUAUCACCAUGCCAUUCGGCCUCAAGAAUGCCGGAGCCACAUUUAGGCGAAUGAUUCAGAAGUGUCUACUCACUCAAAUCAGUCGGAAUGUGGAAGCAUAUAUGGAUGAUAUCGUUGUCAAGUCACGAAAAGGUUCCGACCUGCUCGCUGACCUCGCCGAAACAUUUGCCAACCUCAGAAGGUAUGAUAUCAAGCUCAAUCCAUCAAAGUGCACAUUUGGAGUUCCUGGUGGCAAGUUACUCGGUUUUCUCGUUUCCGAACGGGGAAUCGACGCUAACCCAGAGAAGAUUGGCACUAUUCUCCGAAUGAAACACCCUGUGCGAGUGCACGAUGUCCAGAAGCUUACUGGAUGCUUGGCCGCAUUAAGUCGAUUCAUCUCACGACUCGGUGAAAAGGCAUUGCCUCUUUACCGACUGAUGAAGAAGAAAGACAAGUUCGAGUGGACUCCAGAAGCUGAUGCAGCGUUUGCCGAGCUAAAAGCUCUGCUCUCCACCCAGCCGGUGCUUGCUGCUCCAAUCAGCAAAGAGCCUCUGUUGCUCUAUAUCGCAGCCACAUGACAAGUCGUCAGUACUGUGCUUACGGUCGAGCGGGAAGAAGAAGGAAAAGCUCUCAAAGUUCAGCGCCCAGUGUAUUAUUUGUCUGAAGUCUUGACCCCAUCCAAGCAGAGAUAUCCUCAUUAUCAGAAGCUUGUGUAUGGAAUAUACAUGACCACAAAGAAGGUUGCUCAUUAUUUUUCUGAUCAUUCCAUUACAGUCGUCAGCGACGCUCCACUAUCAGAGAUUUUGCACAACAGAGAUGCAACUAGUCGAGUGGCCAAAUGGGCGAUUGAACUUCUUCCCCUUGAUAUCAAGUUUGAGGCAAAGAAAGCCAUUAAGUCCCAGGCAAUAGCAGAUUUCCUCGCCGAGUGGAUUGAACAGCAGCAGCUGACUGAAGUUCACUCGGAGCAUUGGACCAUGUUCUUUGAUGGCUCUAAGAUGUUGAAUGGUUCCGGUGCUGGGGUUGUCCUGGUUUCCCCCAGAGGAGAUAAGCUCAGAUAUGUGCUCCAGAUUCACUUUGAUUCGUCCAACAAUGAGGCAGAAUAUGAGGCCCUCUUAUAUGGGUUGCGCAUGGCCAUUUCACUCGGCGUCCGUCGCCUGAUGGUCUAUGGCGACUCGGAUUUAGUGGUCAACCAGGUGAUGAAAGAGUGGGACGUGAGAAGCCCAGCUAUGACUGGAUACUACAGUGCAGUGAGGAAGUUGGAAAAGAAGUUCGAGGGGUUGGAGCUCCAUCAUAUACCCCGACUGAAAAAUCAAGCAGCUGAUGAUCUAGCAAAGAUAGGUUCCAAGAGAGAAGCCAUUCCGAGUGGUGUGUUCUUGGAGCAUAUACACACUCCGUCAGUCAAAGAAGAUCCUUUCACCGAAGAAACUCCACAGCCCAAGAGUGCCACAGAUCCGACUGAAGUUGAAGUCCCAGCAGUGGUCGACUUGAUCAUGGAGGUUUUGGUGGUCAUUCCCGACUGGACGGUUCCGUAUGUCGCAUAUAUCCUGAGAAAAGAGCUUCCGGAGGAUGAGGAAGAGGCUCGACAGAUCGUCCGUCGAUCUAAGGCCUUUACCGUAAUCAAAGGACAAUUAUACAGAGAAAGCGCGACUGGAGUUGGUCAGAAAUGCAUAACACCAGAAGAAGGUCGACUCGUCCUCAAUGAUAUUCACUCGGGGACCUGUGGUCAUCAUGCGUCCUCUCGGACCAUCGUGGCCAAAGCAUACCGAGCCGGAUUUUACUGGCCAAAAGCGAAUGAGAUGGCAAAAGAUAUAGUGGAUAAGUGCGAGGGAUGUCAGUUCUACUCGAAUAUGUUGCACAAGCCUGCGUCGGUCCUGAAGACCAUCCCACUCGUCUGGCCUUUCGCAGUAUGGGGACUGGACAUGGUCGGUCCUUUGAGAACAGGACGAAGUGGCUUCACGCAUGUACUGGUGGCAGUCGACAAGUUCACCAAGUGGAUCGAGGCUAAACCAAUCAAGAGCCUUGACACCGGUACUGCUGUUAGCUUCAUCAAGGAACUAAUAUUCAGAUAUGGAGUCCCGCACAGCAUCAUUACGGAUAAUGGGUCGAACUUUGACUCAGAGGAAUUCAGAGCUUUCUGCAACUCCCAGGGCACACGGGUCGACUACGCUUCAGUCGCCCAUCCGCAGUCGAAUGGACAAGCAGAGCGAGCUAACGGACUGAUUCUUAAGGGAUUGAAGCCUCGACUGAUGCGUGAUCUCAAACACGCGGCUGGAGCUUGGGUCGACGAACUUCCCUCAGUGCUCUGGGGGCUGCGGACCACACCUAAUCGGUCGACCGGAAGAACUCCAUUCUUCUUGGUCUACGGAGCUGAAGCAGUCUUGCCGAGUGAUCUUCUCCACAAUGCUCCUCGAGUUGAAAUCUACAACGAAGUAGAGGCUGAACAAGCGCGGCAGGACGCAGUCGACCUUUUAGAGUAAGAAAGGGAGAUGGCUCUGAUCCGUUCGACCAUCUACCAACAAGAUUUGCAUCGUUUCUACGCCAGAAACGUGAGAGGUCGAGCCUUCCAGGAAGGGGAUUUAGUUCUCCGAGUGGAUCAGCACAAACCACACAAGCUUGCUCCUUCUUGGGAAGGCCCCUUCAUCGUCACCAAGGUCCUCCACAACGGAGCGUACCGUCUUUACAACGUCGAGCAUAAUAUCGACGAGCCCCGAGCUUGGAACGCGGAGCUGUUUUAUCACUCGGAUGAGUUGCAAUAAAGUACUUCUGUAGUUCAUGGACCUCAAAAUAAUAGUGUCAUAGUUCCUCCAUAAUUUCUGUCACUUUUUAUUUUUGUCCAAUAAAAUUCCCACCCAGUGGGUGACUUAGCUGCGAAUCCGUUUCGUCUAAGUUUGUAAAAAUCCUACCGAGUGGUGAGCCAGACUCCCACUCGGAGGCUUAGCCGCGAAUCCGUUUCGCCUAAGUUAUCAAAAUCCUACCGAGUGAAGAGCGAACCUCUCACUCGGGGGCUUAGCUGCAGUCCAAGCACUCGCCUAAGUUAUCAAAAUCCUACCGAGUAGUAAGCCAGACUUCCACUCGGGGGCUUAGCUGCAGCCCUGUGCUCGCCUAAGUUGUAAAAAUCCUACCGAGUGAAGAGCAACCCUCUCACUCGGGGGCUUAGCUGCAGCCCUGUGCUCGCCUAAGUUAUCUAAAUCCUACCGAGUGAAGAGCAACCCUCUCACUCGGGGGCUUAGUUGCAGUCCAAGCACUCGCCUAAGUUAUAAAAAUCCUACCGAGUGAAGAGCAACCCUCUCACUCGGAGGCUUAGCUGCAGCCCUGUGCUUGCCUAAGUUGUAAAAAUCCUACCGAGUGAAGAGCAACCCUCUCACNNNNNNNNNNCCUCGAGUUGAAAUCUACAACGAAGCAGAGGCUGAACAAGCGCGGCAGGACGCAGUCGACCUUUUAGAGGAAGAAAGGGAGAUGGCUCUGAUCCGGUCGACCAUCUACCAACAAGAUUUGCGUCGUUUCCACGCCAGAAAUGUGAGAGGUCGAGCCUUCCAGGAAGGGGAUUUAGUUCUCCGAGUGGAUCAGCACAAACCACACAAGCUUGCUCCUUCUUGGGAAGGCCCCUUCAUCGUCACCAAGGUCCUCCACAACGGGGCGUAUCGUCUUUACAACGUCGAGCAUAAUAUCGACGAGCCCCGAGCUUGGAACGCGGAGCUACUCCGCCCAUUUUACACUUAAGUUUUAUCACUCGGAUGAGUUGCAAUAAAGUACUUCUGUAGCUCAUGGACCUCAAAAUAAUAGUGUCAUAGUUCCUCCAUAAUUUCUGUCACUUUUUAUUUUCGUCCACAUAAAAUUCCCCCUCAGUGGGUGACUUAGCCGCGAAUCUGUUUCGCCUAAGUUUGUAAAAAUCCUACCGAGUGGUGAGCCAGACUCUCACUCGGAGGCUUAGCUGCGAAUCCGUUUCGCCUAAGUUAUCAAAAUCCUACCGAGUGGUAAGCCAGACUUCAACUCGGAGGCUUAGCUGCAGCCCUGUGCUCGCCUAAGUUAUAAAAAUCCUACCGAGUGGUAAGCCAGACUUCCACUCGGAGGCUUAGCUGCAGCCCUGUGCUCGCCUAAGUUAUAAAAAUCCUACCGAGUGGAGAGCAACCCUCUCACUCGGGGGCUUAGCUGCAGCCCUGUGCUCGCCUAAGUUGUAAAAAUCCUACCGAGUGAAGAGCAACCCUCUCACUCGGGGGCUUAGCUGCAGUCCAAGCACUCGCCUAAGUUAUAAAAAUCCUACCGAGUGAAGAGCAACCCUCUCACUCAGGGGCUUAGCUGCAGUCCAAGCACUCGCCNNNNNNNNNNUAAGUUGUAAAAAUCCUACCGAGUGAAGAGCAACCCUCUCACUCGGGGGCUUAGCUGCAGCCCUGUGCUCGCCUAAGUUGUAAAAAUCCUACCGAGUGAAGAGCAACCCUCUCACUCGGGGGCUUAGCUGCAGUCCAAGCACUCGCCUAAGUUAUAAAAAUCCUACCGAGUGAAGAGCAACCCUCUCACUCGGAGGCUUAGCUGCAGCCCUGUGCUUGCAUAAGUUACAAAAAUCCUACCGAGUGAAGAGCGACCCUCUCACUCGGAGGCUUAGCUGCAGCCCGGUGCUCGCCUAAGUUAUAGAAAUCCUACCGAGUGGUAAGCCGGGCUUCCACUCGGAGGCUUAGCCGCAGCCCAGUGCUCACCUAAGUGGACUAAAGAAUAAGUCGAUUGCGGUAAAGGCGCCUUGCUUUGAACCUGCAAAAUACAUUUCGAUCCAAAGGCAAUCAUGUUCAAGCACCAAAUUCAAGUUUGAAUCGAUAUCUGAAGGAACCGAAAGUGCUCAGGCAUUAAGCCUGUUAAGGUUUAUCGGCUACAAUUCCACUCGGCAUACCGAGGCAAAUUUAAAAGCGUCGAGCCAGAAGAAGUGUUUUACCCCUCCUGUGGAGGGCUGGAAGGUGCAACGAAUUCAUCAAGGUCAAUUCCGUCGGUGAUCCGAGUGGCAGCUGCAAGGAAGGUUUCCAUAAAGGACCUGAAGUCGUGCUUCUUGGUAUUGGCCACCCGAAGGGCCGCCAGCUUCUCUUCUCGCGCAUCUUUACAAUGGACUCGGGCCAGACAUAGAGCAACAUCUGCACCACACCGAGCCGAGGACUUCUUCCAUUCCUGCACUCGACCAGGGAUCGAGUUCAAGCGGGCCAUCAGCGACUCAAGGUCAUUCUGAAGUGUCUCCUCAGGCCAGAGCAUCGAGUCGAUGCGAGAUGUGGCGGCCUUCAGCCUUGCGAGAUAGUCCACGACAGCUGCAACACGAGACUCCAGUCGGAAAACAUCCAUGGCAACUUCGUCGUUCACCGGAGAAUUGACGGGGUCGAGGUUUGGCUCCAGCCGGCUAGUUUCUUCUUCAAAGUUUUGACAAAAUUCUGCAAGGUUGAUCACUAAGUCAAGGGGAUGGUCGAAUGGAAAAAACCACAAUUGGAAAUGUUUGCCAAGCAUAGAGGUUUACCUUAAAGCAUAAGAAACAGCUUCUUAGCAAGGCCACUCAGGAAGGCCUCCAGAUCAGUUUUCUUCCCAGUCAAUUUGCUGACUUGGUCGGUCAGGGCAGCUUUAUCGGUUUUCAGUCGACUGACCUCCUUGUUGGCAAUCCCAAGAGCAGCUUUCAGAUUGGUAUUGUCUUGUUCAAGCUUGGUGACUGAAGCUAACUUCUCGUCAGCAAGCUUGAUCUUCUCAGCUAGCUCAAGGUCUUUCUUCUGUUGGGCCUCCCUUACCUUACCUGCAAGUUACAGCAAGAUCAGAUUUUGAAACAAGCAAGGGGAAAAGCAGUCGUCAGGGUCUCACCAAACAUACCUUCGGUAUCCUCCUUUGCCUUCGUCAGCUUCUCCUGAACCAGCUUCAAGCUCAGCUCGAGUUGAGUAUGCUUGUGUUCCAGCUCAGAGUAGCGAGCCACAAGAUCACAAGAGUUCUGCGAAGAACCAAUCGACUAAAUGUCAAAUAUAAUUCACUUCCGAGUGAAAAAGGAAAAAACACACGUUUCUAAGACUACAGCCGAAUACAAGCAGUCGACCGUAGUCUCGGGGACUACACCCAGUGGGUGCACUCAGCGUGCCCCCACUGAUUCUGUUGAAGACAAAGUCGACCAGUCGACCUCAAAAAAAAAGAAGAAGAGCGAGAUGCAUUCUCUAAGACUGUGAUCAACUGCAAGCAGUCGACCACAGUCUCGGGGACUACACCCAGUGGGUGCACUCAGCGUGCCCCCACCAGUUUGUGAAAUCCAGUCGACAUAGUCGACUGACAGAAAAAUUGACAUCAUAAAGCCUAAGGCCGACUGCCAGCAGUCGACCUUAGCCUUGGGGACUACACCCAGUGGGUGCACUCAGCGUGCCCCCACCGGUUUGUGAAAUCCAGUCGACAUAGUCGACUGACAGAAAAAUUGACAUCAUAAAGCCUAAGGCCGACUGCCAGCAGUCGACCUUAGCCUUGGGGACUACACCCAGCGGGUGCACUCAGCGUGCCCCCGCUAAUACGGAGUCUAAUCGACAACACCCAGUGGGUGACUACUAUAAAUUCCGGAAAGGAAAAGUUUUUGGCAGCAUAUCCAACAGAACAAACUGUGGUCGACUGACCUGAACAUUGCUCUGGAGGGCAGAACUGGCGUCAUAAGCUGCCUGGCUCGCGUCCCGGAUGGUCUUCAACUGCUCCAUCAUGAUUCCCGCCUGGCGUAUGGCUUCCUUCGCCGCGCCAGCUUGGUCCUCUGGGACGUGGUGCGUCGUGAAGAGGGAGGGCUGCGGAGCACUCGUCAAUGGAUUCGCGAAGGACACUGUGUGUCGAGUGGUGUUCUCUUCCUCCGCAAUCAGAAUCUCAGGCGCCGUCACAUCCUGGGGCACCUUACUGGCGGACGCUUUCCUACUCCUCCUGCGCUUCAGUGGUUCUUCAUCCUCAUCAUCAUCAGGGAGAUUGAUAACAGUAUUGGGUGGAGCUACGGAGAAGAAUCAGGAUCAGAGAUCGCAAGUCAGUCGACUAAGAACGGCGUUAAGAAUACAGUACCUGGGUUCGAAGUCGCUGCGUCCUCCAUCUCGUGGUCAUCAGCCCGGGCUGAGGUUUCAGAAGUAGCAGCACUGCAACUCCAAAGGAUCAGUCGACUAACUUCAGCGUCGACCAGAGACAAAGUUCGCACAAAAUAAGAAGACUUAAGCAGCACGAUUACCCUGAUAUGGUGGGGAUGGACACCUUCAUCUUCGGCAGGAGCUUGGUCGGCUUCGACGAGGCCGCCCUGGGCUGCUUCGGCGCCUUUUCAGUCGGCACCGGAGAGGUGGUCCGAGGGCGCUUGGUCGACUGAACAACGGUCGCAACCCCCUUGCCACGUUCAGACGAAGGGUCGUGGACAAGCUUCGACCGCCUUUCUGAGCGCGGUGGUACGACCUCCUCCUCCUCUUCUUCCUCGUCCUCAACGUCAUCGUCAUCGCCGUCGUCAUCAUCAUCGUCGUCGUCAUCCCCUGCAAUGUCCGAGUCCCACUCCUCCUCUUCCUGGCUCUCGCCCCCGCUCGCCUCACCCUCCUCAGUCGGAGCUUGUGCCCCAUUGGGCAUCGAGUACAGCUCGGUGAGAGCCUGGCAGAUAUCAAGACAAGGAUCAGUCGACCAGUCGGCAGGAUAAACGGAGAUGAAUGCGACAAGAACACAGUGGAGAGCAGAGCAAGUGUACCUUGUUUGGAUCGCUGUUGUGGUCGAGUGGAGGAAUCCUUCUGGCUCCACGUGGGUUAUCCUUAUUUCCGGUAACGGCUACCAUCCAUCUUUCCAGAGUGACGUCGUCGACUGCUUCUGGAUGGACUCUAGUCUCGUCUUCAGUCCCACAGUACAACCACAUGCAGUGGCUCCGGAACUGAAGGGGCUGGAUGCGACGCCUGAGGAAGACCUCCAGGAGGUCCAUGCCCGUCACUCCCUCCCGAACCAACUGCACCACGCGCUCCAUCAACAUCUUCAUGUCAGCUUUCUCCUCCGGAAUCAACUUCAGAGAGGAGGGCUUGUUCACUCGGUCCAUGGUAAACUGUGGGAGUCCACUCGGCUGUCCCGGCGUCGACUGGUCCCGGCAGUAGAACCAGGUCGACUGCCAGCCUCUGAUUGACUCGGGAAAGGUCAUGGGUGGGAAGGUGCUCUUAUUCCUCACCUGGAUCCCCAGACCCCCACACAUUUGGACGACUCGGGUUCUCUCAUCACCUGGGCUCGCCUUCUUCACGGUCUAAGAGCGACACGUGAAUAUAUGCUUGAACAAACCCCAGUGCGGUCGACAGCCCAGGAAACCCUCACACAUGGACACGAACGCGGCAAGAUAGGCAAUAGAGUUUGGGGUAAAGUGGUGGAGCUGCGCUCCAAAGAAAUUCAAGAAGCCACGGAAGAAAACACUCGGCGGCAAGGAAAAUCCACGAUCAACAUGGGUGGCCAAGAGCACACACUCACCCUCUUCUGGCUGGGGCUGCCACUCCUUCCCCGGAAGCCUCGCAGCUCCAUGAGGGAUCAAGCCCUCGUUGGCCAUGUCGAGGAGGUCAUUCUCUGUGAUGGUCGACUGGAUCCAGUCCCCUUGUACCCAGCCCUUCGGCAGGCGGGAUCUGGACGAGGACCCGCCGCGGCUGGUGGAUCUCCCCUUUGCCUUCUCCGACGCCGACGCCUUCUUCGCACGUUCCAGCGCCGCCGUCUUCUCCUUGGCCAUGGUUGCCGGCGAGAUGCGCGAAGGGAAGUGGUGCGGGGGCGAGAGCGAGCACGCUGGGCGGGGAAGAAGGAAGCAGAGAGAGAGAGAAAAUGCUGAGGCACAGUACAGAAAUCCUCGCCGGGCGCAUUUAUAAGGUCCCUUCCGAGUGGGUGACAGGUGGGCCCGGUCGAUCUAAUCAUAUCUGGGAGCAGUUAUGCAGACGGGAUACAUGGCAAAAAAAGCGGCGCGGAGAUCGAGGCGUCUAUGUCCCGUCCCAUCCGAACGCUGCGGUCCGCUCCACUUUUCGCGUGUCCCCAAAUUUCGCAUCCCGCGGAAUCCGCAAACGGCAGAUCAGUCUGUCAGACGCGGGGUUUCCCGCGAUCCGUCGCUCGGGGAUCGUCGAAGCCCGAAAGAUCACUCGACGAAAGAAGAGAAUGAAUCGAGUCGACUGAAGACAAGUUGCUCACCAUCGACGAAGAGAUUCUUUGGUCCAGAACAAUGCACGACCAGAGCGCAAAGAUUAAUCGGAAACGACAUCAAAUCCUUCCUCACUCGAAGCCUCGAUCCAUUCGGGGGCUAAUGAUGGGGUCAUGUACCUAGGGUAGGGUCACGAACCUGAUCUAAGUACCUUACCCAAGGACACCCUUAGAAGAGGUCGCCUUCCAGUCGACCAACGAGGGACUCACUCGACUGACUUGAAGGACUCGACCACGAAGACUCACUCUACCACCAGGAGGUCAAGAGGCACUCCGCACUGCAACGGCCUGUAAUUAAGUAGGCUUUAUGAUAGUAAAGACACUUUAUGUGGGGUGUUACCAGUAACGCCCCGGACUUAACUCACCUUAAACCCUCUCCUACGUGGGCUGGCUGGGGUCCUGGCGCACUCUAUAUAAGCCACCCCCUCCACAGGCAGAGGGGUUCGGCAUCUUGUAACUCACAUACUCAUAAUCCACUCGACCGCCUUCGGGCUCCGAGACGUAGGGAUAUUACUUCUUCCGAGAAGGGCCUGAACUCAUACAUCCCUUGUGUUUACAACCUCUCCAUAGCUAGGACCUUGCCUCUCCAUACCUACCCCCCACUCUACUGUCAGGCUUAGAACCACGACAGCUUACAUAUUAGGCAUAAAGAUCUAUAGAGAUAGAUCAAGACGCUUAAUUGGACUUUCACAAAGCACAUACCUUGACAAGAUUUUGAAGAAGUUCAAAAUGGAUCAAGCAAAGAAAGGGUUCUUGCCUGUGUUACAAGGUGUGAAGUUGAGUCAGACUCAAUGCCCGACCACUGCAGAAGAUAGAGAGAAAAUGAAAGAUGUUCCCUAUGCUUCAGCCAUAGGCUCUAUCAUGUAUGCAAUGCUGUGUACCAGACCAGAUGUGUGCCUUGCUAUAAGUUUAGCAGGGAGGUACCAAAGUAAUCCAGGAGUGGAUCACUGGACAGCAGUCAAGAACAUCCUGAAAUACCUGAAAAGGACUAAGGAUAUGUUUCUCGUAUAUGGAGGUGACAAAGAGCUCAUUGUAAACGGUUACGCUGAUGCAAGAUUUGACACUGAUCCGGACGAUUCUAAAUCGCAAACCGGAUACGUGUUUACAUUAAACGGUGGAGCUGUCAGUUGGUGCAGUUCUAAACAAAGCGUUGUGGCGGGAUCUACAUGUGAAGUGGAGUACAUAGCUGCUUCGGAAGCAGCGAAAGAAGGAGUCUGGAUGAAGGAGUUCAUAUCCGAUCUAGGCGUCAUACCUAGUGCAUCGGGUCCAAUGAAAAUCUUUUGUGACAAUACUGGUGCAAUUGCUUUGGCAAAGGAAUCCAGAUUUCACAAGAGAACCAAGCACAUCAAGAGACGCUUCAAUUCCAUCCGGGAUCUAGUCUAGGUGGGAGACAUAGAGAUUUGCAAGAUACAUACGGAUCUGAAUGUUGCAGACCCGUUGACUAAGCCUCUUCCACGAGCAAAACAUGAUCAGCACCAAGGCUCCAUGGGUGUUAGAAUCAUUACAGUGUAAUCUAGAUUAUUGACUCUAGUGCAAGUGGGAUACUGAAGGAAAUAUGCCCUAGAGGCAAUAAUAAAGUUAUUAUUUAUUUCCUUACAUCAUGAUAAAUGUUUAUUAUUCAUGCUAGAAUUGUAUUAACCGGAAACAUAAUACAUGUGUGAAUACAUAGACAAACAGAGUGUCACUAGUAUGCCUCUACUUGACUAGCUCGUUAAUCAAAGAUGGUUAUGUUUCCUAACCAUGAACAAAGAGUUGUUAUUUGAUUAACGAGGUCACAUCAUUAGUUGAAUGAUCUGAUUGACAUGACCCAUUCCAUUAGCUUAGCACCCGAUCGUUUAGUAUGUUGUUGUUGCUUUCUUCAUGACUUAUACAUGUUCCUAUGAGUAUGAGAUUAUGCAACUCCCGUUUACCGGAGGAACACUUUGUGUGCUACCAAACGUCACAACGUAACUGGGUGAUUAUAAAGGUGCUCUACAGGUGUCUCCAAAGGUAGAUGUUGGGUUGGCGUAUUUCGAGAUUAGGAUUUGUCACUCCGAUUGUCGGAGAGGUAUCUCUGGGCCCUCUCGGUAAUGCACAUCACAUAAGCCUUGCAAGCAUUACAACUAAUGAGUUAGUUGAGAGAUGAUGUAUUACGGAACGAGUAAAGAGACUUGCCGGCAAUGAGAUUGAACUAGGUAUUGGAUACCGAUGAUCGAAUCUCGGGCAAGUAACAUACCGAUGACAAAGGGAACAACGUAUGUUAUUAUGCGGUCUGACCGAUAAAGAUCUUCGUAGAAUAUGUAGGAGCAAAUAUGGGCAUCCAGGUCCCGCUAUUGGUUAUUGACCGGAGACGUGUCUCGGUCAUGUCUACAUUGUUCUCGAACCGUAGGGUCCACACGCUUAACGUUACGAUGACAGUUAUUAUGAGUUUAUGCAUUUUGAUGUACCGAAGUUAGUUCGGAGUCCCGGAUGUGAUCACGGACAUGACGAGGAGUCUCGAAAUGGUCGAGACAUAAAGAUUGAUAUAUUGGAUGACUAUAUUCGGACACCGGAAGGGUUCCGGAGUAUUAUCGGAUAAAACCGGAGCACCGGGGGGGGGGGGGUUACCGGAACCCCCCGGGGGGUUAAUGGGCCUCAUGGGCCUAAUGUGGAGAAGAGGAAGGGGCUGCCAGGGCAGGCCGCGCGCCCCCUCUCCCCCUAGUCCGAAUUGGACAAGGAGGGAGGGGCGGCGCCCCCCCUUUCCUAUUCUCCCUCCACCUCUCCUAGUUGGACAAGGAAUAGGAGGGGAGUCCUACUCCCGGUAGGAGUAGGACUCCUCCUGCGCGCCUCCAUAGGGCCGGCCGCACCCCCCCUUGGAUCCUUUAUAUACGGAGGCAAGGGGGCACCCUAGGACACACAAGUUGAUCCACGUGAUUGUUCCUUAGCCGUGUGCGGUGCCCCCUUCCACCAUAUUCCACCUCGUUCAUAUCGUUGUAGUGCUUAGGCGAAGCCCUGCGUCGGUAGUACAUCAUCAUCGUCACCACGCCGUUGUGCUGACGGAACUCAUCCCCGAAGCUUUGCUGGAUCGGAGCCCGGGGAGCGUCAUCGAGCUGUACGUGUGCUAAGAACUCGGAGGUGCCGGAGUAACGGUGCUUGGAUCGGUCGGAUCGGGAAGACGUACGACUACUUCCUCUACGUUGUGUCAACGCUUCCGCUUCGGUCUACGAGGGUACGUAGACAACACUCUCCCCUCUCGUUGCUAUGCAUCACCAUGAUCUUGCGUGUGCGUAGGAAAAUUUUGAAAUUACUACGUUCCCCAACAUUAAUCCCCGAGGGUAUGGAGGGCGUGGAGCACCCAAACCCAUUCGCCUUUGAAGUGAUCCUGAGCGAUGCCAGUUCCAAAGACUCCAGAGGUGAGGAGGAGCUUGACGGCGUGGCCAACGAGGAGGCCCCGAAGGGGGAUGAAAUGGUGGAGCCUCCGCCAAUGGCGAAGAAAUGCGGGAAGGCUUUGGCGGCGGAGUAAUCGGCCCGGAAGGCAGCAAAUGGUGCCGCCUAGUCAAGAUCAUUGGUAUGGGUAGGUUAGUUGUCCGCUUGUAGAUGAUGUCAUAUGACGCCGACUCGUCCUUGGCCCGGCGUCCGAUCUUGACACCAUGGUAGUGCGGGGGCGACGCCGUCUCAUCCUUGACACGGUGUCCGAUCUGGACGCCGCGGUUGCGCUUGGGUGAUGCUGACUCAUCCUUGACUCGCUGGAGCGGGGACGAUGGCCGGAGUUGGUUUCUCGGGGUGCGGUGUCUGCAUUGAAGCGGCGACGCCCGAGAGGUCACGUUCGUCAGCUUCGCCCUCCCAUACGAUCAAAUUGGGGACAUCAAUGUCGCCCGCUGCAUGCCCUAGGUCAGCAUGAAUGCGGUGCUCGUGUUCGAUAAAAAGCACGAGAGAGCGGUGGUUUUUUUGGUGGGACAGGGCAGUCAGACAAGGGUGUGGCUGACCACAAAGCCCCCGCCCCCUGUUCUUAUUGUUUCUGCAAAGGGCGCCUACGGGCGCGCUAGUUGCGCUCCGCCCAUUUCCAUUUUUUUCUUCUAUUUUAAACGUUCAAAAAAAUAAUGCAACACCAGACUUCAAACUCGCGACCAGCUUCUUCGAAGAAAACGACGGUAACCCUAGGCCAUCGAAGGAUUAGUGCUUUCUAAGGUUUUUUUCCUUUAUUUUAUUUCUCUCUUCAAUCGCGAGAAUCCACCGGUAUUGGAAAGCUUACACAAGCUUUCCGAACCAGCUUUUUAUCGAUUCGCUGGUCAUUUCGGGGGUGGUUUUAUUCCAGUUUUAUUUUUAUUUAUUUUUUAAACAAAUCAUGUUUUAAAAAAACUAUGAAUGUUUUUCAAAUUCGAUGAAUUUUUUUUCAAAUUUGAUGAACUUUUAAAUUCAGAUGAUUUGGGCGGUCUUUGGCGCUGACUAGGAGCUCCUAGGGACCUUUGUGAAAAAAGAAGGGUCGACAAGAAAGAACGGGGAUAAUAUGGCCCAUCAGCCCAAUAUAACCCAAAAAAUAAAGUGUUAUUUUUCAUAAAUCCUUCUUGCACUUUAUUUUUUAGAGUAGACGUAGAAACUUUGAAGCUGGUAGUUUAGCAAAGCUUUCCUUACUAGAUCUUGGUAGACAUGUGUGGCUUGAUGUACCCCCACGAUUAUUGUUGAAUAAAGAGGAACUAGGUUUACUCAACGCGCGGAUUACCGAUCAAACAGGGCGUUGUAGGCGUCUCAUCCAGGAGCUGGCGCACACCGCGGCUUGGUAUGGGCCGACCCAGUUACACGAGUUGGGUGGUCGCCCGCUCGCUGUACGCUCGUUUUACGGUUGUCUGGUCAACGGUUCACUUCGCUAAAAAGAAAAGGUCAACGGUUCACCAUUUGAACCAAGAAAAACCAUGAUUUUAGUUCGCAAAAAUAAAAAAAAGUUAUGAAUUCAAAAUGUUCACAGAUUAUGAAAAGUUCAUCAAAUUUGAAAAAAUAAAUGUUUUGAAAAAGUUCACCGAGUUUCAAUAAAUCAUAGAAUUUGGAAAAAAAUCAUCAAUUUGAAAAAACUUUAUUGAAUUUGAAAAAAAUCAUCAAAUUUGGGAAAAAGUUCACCGAAUUUGAAAAUAAGUUCAUCAAUUUUGGAAAAAGUUCAUUGAAUUUGAAAAAAAUCGACUCUGGAAAAGGUUCAUUGAUUUUGAAAAAAGUGCACCGAAUUUGAAAAAAAGUUCAGCAAAUUUUUAAAAAAUCAUUGAUUUUUUUUGAAAAGUUCAUCACUUUGUCUGCAGAAAAAAAAAACACACACGUCUAGACCGUCAAACUAACUAAUACAGGCUCAUGUUGGAUGGCUUCGAACGUCCGGACGUAUGCAAGUGAUUUGAGGGUCUAAACCGUCAAGCGGAUCAAUACAUGUUCAUGUUGGAUGGCCGCUUUUUUUUUAGAACAGAGGCUCAAGAAAGAGCCCGAUUUUAAAUUAACAAAGCCAUCAACCAGUCAGGAUUACAAACUCGAAACCAACACAAGAAAGCAGAAAAACGACAAGAUACAAAGGUGUUGGAUGGCCGCUCAUGCCUAUGUUGGAUGGAUUCAAAGGUCCAGACGUAUGCAAGUGAUUUGACUGUCGACUUUGGAGAUGCCUGACUACGAGAGCAAGAUACGAACAGUAAUGUUUCACUACUGAACGAACAACGCGUGAUUUGAGGGUCUAAACCGUAAGCAGACCAAUACAUGCUCAUAUUGAAUGGCGGUCCAUGCCUGUAGGAAAGUGAUUUAAGGGUCAACUUUGAAGAUGUAGGCAAGUGAUUUAAGGAUCGACUUUGAAGAUGCCCUGACUACAAGAGCAAGAUACGAGCAGUAAUAUUUCACUACCGGACUAACAGCCCGCAACCAUGGAGCCAGAUAAACCAGCGCACGCACCGCCGGACAUAAAGGCUUCACUAAAAUUAGUUAUCAACUACUCCCUCUGUUCCUAAAUACUUGUCUUUCUAGACAUUUCAAAUGAUUACUACAUACGGAUGUAUGUAGACAUAUUUUAGAGUGUAGAUUCACUCAUUUUGCUCCGUAUGUAGUCACUUGUUGAAAUGCCUAGAAAGACAUGUAUUUAUGAACGGAGGGAGUACAUCCAGUUACCACUAGGAAAUUAAUGAUAAAAAAUAUUGGGUUUAGGCUUAGUUUAGCAAGUCUAUAUAUGUAGACCUCACAUGGCUAGCAUAAAACAUAGUGGACACACACGGCCAACAAAUAUAGUCGAUACAAUGCAGAAGAUUUUUAGUAAUACAAGUCCAUUGGCAAUGCAACACAUCAUACGCAUCACGGAUGAGAUAGGAAAGACUUCUUAAGCUUUUUUUGGACCGGGGCUUUGACCAUGCCUUCGAACAAUUUGAACUCAAACUUCUUUCCAGCCUGCACACCAAUCAUAGCAGCCUGCUGUACAAGCUUCUUACUUAACAUCCCUAAUUGUUUCAGCAGCAUUCGAUAUUUGCCUGUAUAAACGAUAGUAAAAAAAAAUCUAUUAGAUGAUAUGAAAUAUCUACUUGCAGAGGUUAAAUCAUCUAAACAUUGACUAUAAAGACCCAUAAACAAACUAUUAUCCAAUUAAAUUAAAAUUCCAACAACCGCUCUGCUCUUACUAACAUUAGCAAUUUUGUUCACGCCCUCUCUUUCUGACUGUAUUGAGUAUUCUUGUCAUACAACACCCAGUUUCCGGAACUUGCAAGUUCUCUUCCAUUCCAUGCAACUCCCUGUGUUUCAAAUUCUAGAUUUGUCCCAAGUCUAACAUUUCUAUCUUUGGCCAUCAAUUCCUAUAAAUUUGUACAGUAUAAUGGCGAGCAUAAUUCUCAUGGCAAAUCUAAAAAUAUAAAUCUUAUAAUCUCAAACUAUAGAGUGAAUUUCACUUUUUAUCCAUAGUCUAAUAUUUGUGACAGCAAUUACCACAUUUAAUAGGAAUUCCUCCUGUUUACCCUAUUUAGUCCAACUCUAAUAUCUGACGAAUGGUACGAAUAUAGGGACACUAUUGAACGCAUUCACCAGUUAACAUUCCCAUUUAGUGAAACAUUUGCCAGUUUAUUCAGUUAUAUUUGGUAGGACUCGUUCAUCAGGUCUACGUGGGCAUGCGCGACUUCAACAAUCCUAGCUGCUUCUACUACGAUCUUGGUUGUUGCUACUGUCGCUUGCUUCAUCGAUCGCUUGGCCGAAACCUGAAAAGAGAAGCUAGAGCAUGCACACUUGUCCUGUACAUGCAUGGC
rnacentral:lncRNA from 1 species